UCUAUUUCCCGGUCGAGAUGUACAUUAAGCAGAAGCAAAUACCCAAGUGGAGCACCAAGUGGGUGUGCCUUCAGAUUCUGAGCAUGGCUUGCCUAAUCAUCACCAUUGCUGCUGCUGCUGGCUCUGUCGCCGGUGUUGUUCUCGACCUCAAGUCCUACAAGCCCUUCAACUAGUCAAAGAUUAUUUGGGCGCUCAUGUUCAUAACAAGGUUAAUCAUGGUGGUGGAAUUUGCUUUGUGAGAAAUUCUAGGCUUAGGUUUCAUUUUCACUGUGUAAUGUGUUUAGGGAACGGGAAGGGUCAUGCUAGUCUCUGCAUAUCGUGGUCCUCAUGAUAAGAAUGUACCUCUUCUAUUAUUUGUCAAAGGAAAUGGAAAGCUUCAAGAAAAAGGAAGUUCAAGGUCUUCUCUUUGCUCAUGUAGUUUGAUUUUGGGGGCUAUACACAAGAAAGUUUGCAAAAUAAAAAUCCUUCUUAUUGUCUUUUUCGAUCCGCCCAUCUAUGACAAUUUGUAGAAACUUCCUCUUUCUCAACUCUGCAUCUUUUAGAGAGCAGCCACUCUUAGGACAGAUAGAGAAGGGGGAAAAAAAGGAAGCAACAGAUAAACAUCGAGGCCUAAAAAAUGUCUUGGUCUCAAGACUCUUGCGGCUAAAAAAUGUCUUGGUCUCAAGACUCUUGCGGCUAGAGCUACGGCCAAAGUCAAUCCGGGACUUUCUACAACGAGAAGUAUAUGGUCACUGUUGAAUGAAAACAAUAAGGGGUGAACCACACGCGCACAAUCAUGGCAAGGUUCAAACGGAACUUUAAUCUUGUCCUUACCACGAAAAUGUAGAAAGCCUCUCGAAAAAAGAAAAAAAAAAAGGCAAAAAUUUUAUUUAUUUUCUCAUGAACCCGACAGUCCGCAAAUUCGAUAGGGCAUGAACUUGGCCUAGUCAGACCACAGAAGCAAAAGAAAUGUGUUUUUUGUCAUUUGUCUCCAAUUUCCACCCUUAGUUUCCAAACUUGCAUAAGGGAAAGACUAGCAAUGUGCAAGGGAAUCUGUGAUUAUGCCACAAUAGUUUUGUCGCUUCCAGUAAUGCAUGAAAUUCCAUCUGCUUUGGCAAAAAUUCAAAACCAACAUAACAAGAGUUUGAAAAAACAUCAAAAUCACUAGGUGAGACAUUUUUUGAUGGUCUUAUCAGCUACUCCAACCAUCUUUCUUGAUUUAAAAAAAUAAAAAUGAAAUAAAUGGCUGUUUCAAAUUCUUGCUGAUUGAGAGCUACUUUAGCAGUAGCAGAGUAUCUGCUUUUACACUUGCAGACAUGUGUAUAACACAGCUGUUCAGUGUCAAAUCUUCAUGAGAGCCAUCGAAUGUUGCCCACUAAUGUGAAACCACAGAUCAUGCCCUCCACAAAGAUCUAGGAUUACAACCUUUUCCAUAGCAUUUUGAUGUGACCCAAGACAGUCGAAAAGGGAUGGCUCAUGUUACAAGGUCGACUGAACCGACGGUGGCCAAACCCACAGAGUACAAUUUCCUUGUGGUGGUGUGCCUUUUUUUCGGUGCUGGUAAUCAUUGUCAGCUUUGAGAUUCCCUUUUGUGAGUGUGGAGUACACAAUUAAGCAAAAGUCAAACCAGAAGAUGGACAGAGAAGUAUGUAGCGAGGAGAGCACGGGCGCGAGAGCUUCUCUAAUUUCUUUUUUUCCUCCUCUUCAAUGAGAGUUUCUAAUGUGGAGUUGUGAAGAAUGCCAGGAAGUAGGUCACGUAAAAUCAACGCACGCCGAAGAUUUUCUAGCACACCAUUUCAAUGAGAAGUCGAGUGUGUUUUACGCCUUGUUAUUUCAAUUGGAAUAAUGAUUAAAGCGAGCCUAAUGAGUUUUGAAAUUAGGAAUCAUUGUGAAGCAUCGAGUCUAAUGGAAAUCAAAAAACAAGAAGAAGAAGAAGUUGACAAUUGAUAGCUUCCAAACUUUUAACUAAUAAGUCAUCGAAUGACUCUAAGUCACCAUGUCACUUAUUGUUAGUAUUUUUACUUUACCGUAUUAAUUGCAUAUGCAUUCAUUGUGUAUCAUCGGUUCAAUGAUACUUAAAAAAAUAAUGCAAAAAAGCCAAGUUAUAGUGUUCUUUUAUUCUAAUAGCUAUUUUUUAUUGAGUCAACUAUAAAUUGUUGAAAAUUUUGGGAGACUGUAAUUUAGAAUGGAUUUAUAGUUCAAGCACUUUAACAUUGGUUGUCAGUAAUAGUCAUCCCCAUAUAGUUCAUGUAAAACAUAAUUUGGAGCUCAUAUUUUUUAAAUUUGUCGCCUUAAAUUGGUAUAUUAAAUGAUGUAUAUCUAGGAAUCAACAUCAGUUAUCCUCAAUGUUUGUCCUCAUUGUACGUGAUUUCAAUCCUUAGUCAAACUUUGCUCUACAUUUGGAUUUUAAUAGUUCCGUGUUCAUAAUGGAUUCGUAGGUUAUUUUCAAACUCGCUUUGUGAAUGAUCGUGCAUAUAUGUCACUCAUAGUUCUCAUAAGUGCAAGAAUCGUGAUUUAUAGUAUGACGUAAAUUGAUGUUGAGACUAAAAUUGCACCAAAAACGGAACUGCAAGAAGUAAUGUUUUAGCAUUCCCUCAUGAAGACUCUCAAAACACAGUCAAGAUUUAAAAAUUAAGAGUGCAACUUUCACAGCAUAUUUUAACCGCUAACAGAAAAGAAAUAAGAUUCUUCUUUUUAAAAGAGCACAUGGUUUAAUAUUCUUUUAUGACCAAGUGAGUACAAAGAACCCAUUCUGUUGGCACGUUCUGAGGUAGAAAGCCAAAAGAUGACAGUGCGGGGUUAGGUGGCGGCUGCGGCGGCCGCCGGAGACUUUCGGCUGUCGGCGGCUAGUGGUGUGUGGAAUCUCUGAGGAAAUUCAUCGGGAAGUUAUUGCUUAAGAUAUGAAUACUUUUUGGAUUCUUUGUAUCUUUUGGUGAAUCCUUUUUUUGACCGACAGAAAACGCCGAGGUAGAAUCUGGUAGUUGUGAGGCUUGCGACAUGUACUCGAAAUCCCACUGAACCUAGGGGAACGAAUUAGGACAAGUUACUUGUGGGCUUAAAAAACCAAUAACAAGGAGAAAUGACAAAAACAAAGUUGGGUUUGUCUUCUUUGUGUAAUUAUUUACUUUAUGUGUGAAACUGGAGGGUCCGAAGAAGAAUCUCCAACGAUCAAGGAUGCACCCAGAUUCUUUCACCUAAUCGGCACUAGCAAUCAAGGUCAUGACGACUUCAGCUCUAAUGCAACACUAGGCAAAAUUGAUCACGACACUUGGGGCCAAUUUGAUCGAUCACCACCAUGACAUUGGUGUAAUCUAAAGAUAGAAUAGUUUAAUAUUGAAUUUCUUUGGUGCCGAUGAAAGGUGCUUAACUUUUUGCUUUUUCAAAGGACUAGUUGACCUUGUCACAAACCCAAAAGAAAAUUUUAACCCAAAAGUUAUGAUGGAAUUCGAAUAGUUAACCUUGGCACCAUCGGCAUUGGUGUGGAAAUUUUUUAAAUACAUGUUUAAUUUUUUUUUCUAAUCCUAGGUUUAGAGAAACAAGGAAAAAUAAAAAUAAAAAUGGAAAAAAUAGUAAAAAUAAUAAAAAUGCAUUUAAAAUUUAUCUACAUCAAUGGUGACGAUGUUACGUAGAAUGACCAAUAUUCAUAUCCAUAAUUUUAGACUAAAAUCGGUCAAAUUGAUUUUAUUGAAGAAAUAUGAAAAAUUUAGCAUUUAAUUGAUAAAAUUAAAAAAUUUAUAAUUAAAUUAAUAAAAUUAUAAUAGAUUUAAGACUUAUUAGAUAUUUUUCUCUUCUAGAUGAGCACCAAAAUAACCGCAGUCUAUGUAUGCAAAUACUAACAAAUAUGAGAUUAAUAGAUUGAUUGAUUGAUUGGAGUAUUUCCUAUUCCCUAUAGCUUCCUGCCAAUCCUCUGCGCUGCAAAGGCUUUGAUGCUCUUAUACUUGAUCAAAUCGUCUUGAGUACUCACGACGGAUAUCGUCCUCGAACCAUGCCAUCUUCCACGGUCUCACGACAUCCACUUCGUCUUCUGGUACAGCUCUCUACAUAGCUUCCAAAUUGCAACUUGCUGAGAAAUUUUCCCUCGCAAGCCCUAUCCUCCAUUGCCAAUUUCCUUAGCUCCAAUCUCUGUGGGUUUUAAAAACCCAAAGUCUCGCUCGAGCUUCUUAGCCAUUUUCUCAAUCCCAAGCCCAAGCCCCGGGAUUCUUGGGCCUCCAUCGAGGAAGAAUCUUUGAGGACCUUUGGGAUUGGUCCUCCACAGGUGAAUAGCCCGCAGAGAAGGUAAUGGUUGCCAACACCAUAGCUGUAGCAGCCGAUAAGGGCUAUUUUGUUUGUUUGAACCAGGAAUUAGGUUCAUUAUUGCGGUACUAUAAAGAAAUAUGAGACAUAGAUGAAAAUGAUGAUGACACAAACGGUCAUUGAAUUUUGUUCUAAUGUGUAAUAAAACUUUCGAACUUUCAAUUUGUUUAAUGUGGUUCAUGAACUUUAGUCAAAUAUACAAUAUAGUCCAUGAACUUUUAAUUUAGUCAAUGUGAUCAUUGGACUUUUUGUAUAUAUUCAACUUAAUUCUCGAACUAUAUAAAAAUGUUCAAUGUUGUCAUUCCCUUUCAUCAAUUGAAGUUUAGGGAUGACAUCAAAUUUUUUUUAUAUAAUUCGAGAAGUAAGUUGAGUAUGUAUCAAAAGUUUAGGGAUCAUAUUAAAUAAAUUAAAAUUUUGGGGAUUACAUUGUACAUUGAGCUACAAUUAAUAAAUUAAAAGUCGAGGGAUCACAUUGCACAUUUAAAUAAAGUUCAUGGAUCAUUUAUGUCAUUUUUUCUAGAUGAAAAUAUGACCGGCACACAAGAUUUUAUGUUGUUUUCCUGACUUGAAUGUUGAUUCGAGUCAACCCUUGUCAAGUUGCUCUAUUGGGUCGGGUGGGUUCCAUGCGGGGAUGCGCAUAUGAUGAGCUCGGUCAAUAGAAUAACGACUUGAUUUUAAGCAAAGCCCUUUCCGAACUACUCUUCAGAAAUUCUGAGUGGCGCAAGCUUCGAUCUGUGAGUGGGCUGUCAGAUUGGGCCUCUCGUUGUUAGAGAAAAUUUGGCCUCUUGUUGUGAGAAUAUAUUGUUAGGGAUUUAAUUAGACGGGAACAUUGUUUUAUAUUUCGUUAUUUUCUAAAAUAAAGAAUUUUCUUAUUAAAUUAAGAUAGUAAAUUUCCUUGUUAAAUUAGAUUACUACUUUUUCUAUGCUCAUUAUUCGAGUGUAAGUACCCGUUGAUCAUAAUACAUUAUGAAGCCAAGCUAGAAAGUAAAGAUGUGUCCUUCGAGUAUUUUCUCUCUCCCUCUCUCUUAAAAAUUUUAAAAUAUUUCUAUGGACUUCUGAAUUUAGAAGGUGAGACUCGCUACCUAACUGAUUGAUAUAGUGCCUGUCACACUGAGAAGAAAUUCAUCGGUUAGUCAUAUGAAAAUUAUCGAAACUACAAGACUUAAAAAAUAAGAUCACCAUCGCUGGAUCAAUGUAGAUAGAUGAAGACCGCCCGAAAGGAAGCUGUCAUAGGCAUUUAAUGGAACAAUGGUGGGGUGUUAUGCCGAAGUAAAGCCUCACAUUAGCUACAUAUAUAUCGCUAAGCACGUCCAUAAGGUCUUAGACUCUCACCCUGAUGCCUCAACUUUUAGUGGCGUUAUCUCGUUGAACUAAUGGCAAUCAGAGUGCUGGAGUUUAUCCUAAUAUCUGAAGAGGUUGAAGCUGAUGAAUAUCCAUGCUAAGCCUCCAAUCAGUCUUUCCCUCUCACAAUCCGGUUCGGCUCAUUCUUGCGCCCCCACAUGAUGCAUCGGAUCCAUGCCGGUAGAAAGUUCGCAAGACAAUUAUAGCUUCACCCGGAGCAGCAUAACAAUAUGGAUAUCGGUGUCAGAAUUAAAGGCUAUACUCUGAAUAUAGAACUCCAUUAAAUGAUACCUGUCGGUUCCUCAAGCCACAUGCUUGUUCGUGAUUCAGGCAUUUCAGAUGAUUCUCCCGCAGCUUCUUUUCCCCGUAGAAUGGUAAACUCGACUAGUACGUGACCACACAUCUGAAGAUAGAUAGUCAAGAAAAUGAACGGCCGUUGAACUGCACCUUUUAUUCAAAAUCAGCGCCCUUUCUACUUUAUCAAUCAACUUCCCUUUCUAUGAGGCCGUGAAGUGUCGGAUACCGUGGAAAGAUUUGAAGACAAAUAGCUGUAUACAGGUCAGAGAACCUGUGAAUUAAAAGAAAGGCUGGUCAAAAUGUGGAUUACAUGUCACCAAUCAUGAGAAUCCUUCCGGUAAGGGGUCGAAGAGGUAUCAUGCAUGGCAGAUGUCAACGGUUGCCCUUCAUUAUCUAGCAAAACAAAGGAGAGAAAUCCUCCCUGAUCGCUAGCAUCAUGCUUUGCAUUGGGUGCUCUUCGCCGAACACAUUCAUAUGCCAGAGACUCCUAUGUCUCCCUCAUGUCCUUUAUAAAGUUGAUGGGCUUAAAUAUGCAGGGCGUUAGAGAGAGAGAGAGAGAGAGAGAGAUUGCCAGAGUCCUCUUUACCCUUUAGAAUCUCAUUGACAAUGGAUUUUGCUAGAAAUGGCUAUAAAAACAAAUUCACUCUGUUCUUUUUCCCAAAUUACCCAAAAGAAGAAGAAGAAGAAGAAGAAGAAGAAGAAGAAGAAGAAGAAGAAGAAGAAGAAGAAGAGAAACGUAACCAAUAAUUACUGUUGAAAUAGUUAUCAUAAAAAAGUUUUCUCUUGUUUAGGAGAACAUGUGACUUUUAGUUAAGAGAAGAGGUGAUUCUUGAUGAUGAAAAGAAGUGACUCUUUGUCCUAAAAGGAAGUUAUUAGUAGUUAUGAAUAAGUUAUUCUUGACAUAAAGAGUGGUAAUGAUUGAGGAUAAAGUAUCUGUUCUCAAGAGAAGUGAUAAUUGGUUUUCUUUGAAUAGAUGUCAAUUCACAUAUUAUUUAUAAUAACUACAAUUGUUUAUAAUGUGUUUUCUCUAGAAUUCUAUCUUCUUCUAUUUUUAUACAUGCAAUCUUAACAAAUUCAAGGAGACAUUCCAAGAGAAACUCGAGUAGUUGCUGAACUCGUUUCUCUACGGCUUUGAUAUAUAUCCUAGAGAUUAUUUGUUCUAAACCCGGCAGUAAGAAUAGUGAGGGCAAAUAAUAUCCCAAGAACAGUGAUUGUCAUUGCAUAUCAAAGCAUCAAGGAUCUAUCACUAUUUCUUCAUCUUCUUCAGUAAUCAAAUUUUCUCAACAAUUACGUACUCUGAAAUAAGCCCUAACUACACAGAUGCAUCAACCAUCUUCAUCAUGUCUUAAGUCAUACACAGACGCACUACAUAUUUUGCUAUCACUACGACUUCUACAUUUGUUUUCUCAUUUUGUCAUCCUGUCUACCGCGUUGCCUGCCCAAGCAAUGGAAAAACAUUCACUGCUAGCCACACAAAAAAAUUCAUAAAUGGAAAGUGCACCAGAGCAAACAUGGUAGGAGGAGAUCGGCAACCUAUGGUUAUGAACAAACAAGAAAACGACGCUCACCUGCAGUGACAGCCCAACAUCUUAACCAAACAGAGCACUGCUGUCAAACUGAAUAUGUCCUAACGCCUGAAUCUAACAAAUAUCAGGGUCGUAAGUUGCAGCGGAAAGCUCCUUCGUCCUUUUGCAUAGCUUCUCUUCGAGAAAUUUAAACAUAUCCAGUCUUCCUUCCUUUAUAAGCAAUUGCCUUACCCUCCCAAAAGUCAUACGUGAUGGGCGGAUCCCUUUCUCCAUCAUCUCUUCCAAUAAGACACAAGCCCUUGGUGAAUUACCCUUCUUGCAUAAGCCAUUUAUGAGCGCUGAGUAAGUGUGCAUACUUGGUAUGAAUGGCUUCGAGUCCAUAUACUUUUACACCUUGAGAGCCAUCUGCAGCUCAUCCCUCUGGCAGAACAUCUUUAUCAUCAUUGUAUAUGUAUCUGCAUCAGGCUGACAGACCUUAAUCAGUCUCCGGAAGAAGCUGUAAGCCUCAUCGAUUUGCCCACUAUUAAUCAAAUUUGUUAAAAUGAUAUUGUAGGUCGUUGAGUAGGGAUUGACUCGCCUGCUCUCCAUCUCACUCAAGACCCUUUUCACGUUUUUAAAUAUAUUAACUUUGUGAAAGGCGCUAAUCGGGAAAUUAUAUGCUACCACGUCAGCCUCAACUCCAUUCCUUUCCAUUUCUAGGAAUGUCUCGACAGACAGCAUCUUCAAUCUGAUUUUCCGUCCCGUAGGUACGUACCAGUACACUACAAAUGAAAGAUGUUGGCCGACAGGCAGUGGAAUCCAUUUCCUUGACAAUUCCAAUAGCCUCAUCGACUCUCCCAGCCUUGCAAAGUAUGUCGACCAUAAUUCCGUGCGUCACUAUAUCAGGGUCGCAACCUGCGCUACUAAUUUCACGGAAGAUCUCUCUAGACAAUAUUUAACAGUUUGAUACAUCCCAACUAAACGACUCUCACUAUAACAGCUCCACCAGCACGACUCUCUAGACAAAAUUUACCCCGUGCCUUCAACAGUUUGAGUUGUCCAAAUAAAUGAGGAUAAGUACACUAAUGGUGCCAUAAGUUGUGUACGGCGCUCACUUUGGUACCAAAAUGUGUACGGCGUUUACUUUGUUACCAAAAGUUUCUGUCGGAUCAUUUAAAUGCCAAAAAAUUUGAAAAAUGCUCACUUUGGUGCCAACGCCGAUCUGAUCGGCCAGAAAUCCAACGUGACCAUUUUUUUAUUAAUUUAUUAUACUGAUGUGGCUCGCCGAAGAGUCCGAUCAGCAUGUAAACUACCAAACGACGUCGUUUGGCGUCUUAAACCCCAAAUCGAGAGAGAGAGAGAGAGAGAGAGGCCAUGGUGGCGUUGUCUUCUUCCCCGAAGAACAACACCAGUAGAGAGAGAGAGAAGUCAUGGCGGUGUUGUCUUCUUCCCCAAAGAACAACACCAGCAGAGAGAGAGAAGCCAUGGUGGCGGCGUCUUCUUCCCCGAAGAACAACACCAGCACCAGCCACUCUCUAAACAGAGCCCAAUCCACCAUCUCCAUCUGCGCCCUCAUUGUUUCCCUCGCACUCCUCGUCUUUUCUCUCUCUCUGCACCUUCAACCCCCCUUCUUCCUCCUCCUCCUCUGCCCUUGCCUCCUAUUUUCCCAUCACUUCUUGACCGAGCGAUGGUGGCCGAGCACAGUGGCCGAGCAUGGUGACCAAGCGACGGUGGCCAAGCAAGCUAGUUCGGCGAGGAUGAACAAAAAAAAACCUAAUUUCAAUGACAAAUGAGCUAUACGACGUUGUUUUUCCUAAGCCAUUCACAUAGGACGGCAAAAUGACGUCAUUUUCUUAAGUAGGACAUAAAAUGACAUCGUUUAAAGGGUUUAUCGAUUUUUUUUUAAAUAUAAAGCCACGUAAUCAUUUUGGCCGAAAUUUCUCGCUGGUGGCACCAAUUUUUUCUCCGAUUUGGCAUUUAAGUGAUCCGACGGUAACUUUUAGCACCAAAAUAAGCGUCAUAUACAACUUAUGGCACCAUUAGUAUACUUAUCCCAAAUAAAUAAUACUCUAGCCGAAAAAAUUCCACUAGCACGAAAUCACUUGACAAAAUUCACAUCACACCAUCCUGCUAGGCUGCUAUCACCAGUGGCGAUCCAGUGUCUCUAUCAAUCUCAAUUGCAUGACUCUAAACUGAGAUCGGAAUCCAUUCGAGGAAGACUUCUCAUUAUCUGGUCACCCAACCUACACAUUGCAUUGGGUUCGCGUUAAAGCCACACGACUCACGAUCCAUCCAACUUAGCAACGGACGGUCGGUCAUGGCUUGAAACAACUUUUUACAUUCUUACAAGUUCCUUUCUUAACAGGAUCUCACGCUUUCAUGCAGCAUGGAUCGGUCAUAAAUCUGUAGUUUCCUCGUUGGUUCCGCCCAAUGGAGUCCUUUACGUUAGCAGUUGGGAUGGAACCGUCAGGUUAAGGUGCCUGUUAUUGGGCAUCUCGUCGUGGUGCUUGACUGAUGAAAUCGAUGAACUGUAGUCUGUCUGAAGAUUUCUUGUUUCAUUUGGUUUCCAAAAAAAUAAAAGAUAAAUCACUGCUGAAGUUACCUGCGACAAUUGCACCUAAUUUAACAUGGCUUAUCCCGUCAUUUGAUUAGGUCUACUUUGGAUGUUUCUAAUCCCCAUCUCGGAAAUUUCUUCCUUCUAAUUUUGUUUGAAGAUUAUUCUGGAGCCCGUAGAAUCGUUGAUGGAUUAGCAUUCAUGGUCCGAAUGAAAUUGCUACUAUUCAUUUCUCAAAAUUUAUCAUCAAUCAACCAAUUGAUCAUGACACUUCUGAAAAUUACUAUAUUGAAACUUGAAAUUUGGAGACACAUCUAAGGGAAGAUUCCAAAAUAUCCAAGAGUCUUGAUGUUAAUAACGUGAACCACUGAAUUGGGAUUCCAUUCUCUGUUGCAACAAAGUUCAUUAGGUUGAUGCAACGGGAGAAGAUUUCAAAGAAAGAAGAUAUGAGUCCACAAUUAGCAUUUAGUAGUUGUUUUCUCGUCUACCAAUUUCUUACUCCAACAGUACAUGGGGAAAGAUAUUAGAUGCGAGAACUCGUUAAUUAUGUUAUCGGCGUGAUUAUUCAUCGAAUAAACAUAUUCCUCAGUAAUCUGAUCGUGGUGUGCUUUGCUUGUGGCCUGUGGGUUUCUAUUUUUAUUUUUAUUUUUUAUUUUUUUUUGCAGCUCAUGUGAAUGCGUGAAUGGGAGCUACAAGGAAGGAGCGGAAUUAUCAAACUGACUUGACAUCGGUCAGACAAUUCAUGUCUGAAUUUUCGCACUUUUUAAUGAUAGAGGUAACGAUAUCCCUUCUUUUUUUGGCCGAAAGGUAACGAUAUUCCACAAGUCCAACUUCCAAUCAUGGAAAGCCCCAUUUUUAGGGAUAAUCAAUUGUCGGUCUAGUCUAGUGUUAAGGUGAAAUUAGGAAUUAGACCAGGAGGACCGGUUCCCAAAAGUCAAAACUGGUCGGUCUCGUUCAAUAGAACCAAUCACUUAUUUUUUUUCACUACUUUUUUUGUAUUUUUUUUUUCACUACUUGGAGGUGGACUGGAAUAGUGUUUAGCUUACAUUUCAUUAAUUUUUUUAAAGAAAUAAUAAAAUAAAAAAGUAUAUCUAGUUAGUUUGGUCCGAUUUCCCCUUGCUAGGAACCAGACCGUCCGAAUACGGAUUCCACUUAUAGGAACUAGGAAUCAAAUCAACACUCUCAAGAAUAGGACCAAGGUGAUUUUCGAUGUCCCCCUCAAAGAGCCUUCUCUACUCCUAGUGAAGACAACUCGUCACUACCCUAAUUAAAAAAUUAGACAUAUUUGAUAGUCCCCACCAUUAACAUUCAACUAUGACUUUCUCCCUUGAGGGGUUGAGGGCUGCAGCACAACGAUGAAGGGAUCAAACUAUCUUAUAUGAGACCAUAAAUUCCACUAACGUUGUGAGGGAAGAUCUUAUCAUUUUGUUAUUUUUCCUUAUUUUGUUAUAAGCUACAUAGCAUCGACACUUUCCGGGAACUUUCAUGUCUUCGAUACUCCGACACAUGUUUGACACGUUCCAACACGCAGUCAAUGAGUGUUGGAAAAUCAUAUACAUAGUCAACUCUCCCUAACACACGAGUCUAGAAUUCCAACACACUCAGGUCAAUUUUAAAAAGUUUUAAUACUUAAGGGGUUAAGAUAUAAAUAUAUAUAAAAAAAGCCCCUCACUGGCUUGGGUGAGGCCAUAGCCAGUCAAGCAAAGGCCAGCAAGGCUCACCCCAAUUUGAGUGAUGCCUUAGCUAAGGCUUGAGCAAGGCUCGCCUAGAUCUGGGUGACAUUGCGCCCUUGCUCGGGCCUAACAAGGGUCGCUGGCCCUCACCUAAGGCUAGGGAGGCUCACUGGCCACAGACGAGGGCCGGUGUUGCUCAGAUCUGGGUGAGCCUUGCCCAAGCCUAGUUGGGGAUUGCGAGGGUCGCCCACCCUCUAUGGUCCCCUCCGACGAUGGCAAAGGCAUGGCCAGCCACCCAUGACCCUGUUUUUUUCUUUUUCACGACCUUCCCUUUUUUUCUCUAGUUUUUUUUUUUUUUAGAAUUAUUCCCCGCCACCCACCUACCUUUUUUUUUUCACGACCCUCUCCUUGUUUUCUAGUUUUUUUUAGAAAUAUUAUAGCUUUUUUAGAAGUUUUUAAAUAUUUUUAAAUAAUAUUUUUUAAAAAUAAUAAAUAAAAUUACCACGUAGGAUAAAUAAAUUAAUUUUAAAAAACUACUUCAGCAUUUUCAAGUAAACAAAUUGACAGUAUUAACGGAAGAACUCGAUUGCAUUAAUUUGAUAAGUUUUAGGACCUGUAGUGCACAUAUCCAUAAAUUUGAUAGUAGAAUGUAGGGGUGUGCAUGGUCUAGGCGGGGGGUUUCCGACCUAGAACCUGGAACCGCCCGUUAAGAACCGAUUCAGAAAAAUUGAAACCGGGAUCCGGUCCGUUUCCCGGGUGGAUCCAUGAAACCGGUCUCACAAUAAUCAUGAAACCGGUCUCACAAUAAUACCAUGGAACCGGUUUCCUCAUGAACCCUAGACCUAUUCUUCUUCUCAUCCUCCUGCAACCCUACUUCUUCGCGUGCUGGCCUUUUGAGUUUUGCCCACUAACUGCUCGGCGUUUUGUCAAGGUCCGCUUUAGACUUUUUAACUUCCGGACGUCUCCAUUUGCUCGGCGUUUUGUCAAAGGGGUUCAUGCACUACUUGCCUUUUGAUGCUGGGUAACCUUUUCCAAGAAGAGUAAAGCGAGGGAUAGAAUGGAAGGCCUUUUGUCCGCCGCUAAGGAGGAUGAGUGAGGAUGCAUGCAUAGCUCCCUGUUAAUUAGUAAUUUCAAAUUUUUUUAAUAUUAAAAAUUAAUCGGUCUGGUCCGGGUGGGCGGGUGGGCAGAUCCACCAAUGAAACCGGAAAUCGAAUCAGUACCCACCGGUUCCCAUAAAUUGGAACCGGGAACCGGACCGAUUUCCUCAAGAACCACCAAUUCCAAGCGGUUCCAGUCCGGUUCUGGGCGGUCCGGGCGGAUCCUGGUUCUUUUGCACACCCCUAGUAGAAUGUGGAUUGUUUUUUUUUCUCAAAAUUUUAUAGAUUAUUGAAUUUGUCAAGUUAAAUAAUGAAUGAUAUUAACAAAUGUUGGAUUAAUAUUUUUAGUGUAAAUUAAUUCUAGGCUCUUAUUAUUAUUAUUAUUAUUAUUAUUAUUAUUAUUAUUAUUAUUAUUAUUAUUAUUAUUAUUAUUAUUAUUAUUAUUAUUAUUAUUUAUUUGAACAUUUAUAUAUAAAAAUAUAUUUAAUGUAUAAAGUGUGGGAAUGUGUUCAAAUUCUCUAGUUUUUAAGAAAUGACGUAUCAAUGUGUUGUGUCGCGUGUCCGUGUUGGUCUUAUAUAGGUUAUGAGCACGAAAACUCAUAACAACUCUAUUGUUGUUAAUACUUCGUCUCAUAUUUCCAAAAAAUUGGAUUUUAUUUGCGAAAUCCCUUUGUUUAAUUCGCUAGUUAUAAAAAAAAAAAAUUGGGAUUUUUUUUUACAGCCAAGAAUGUAAAUAGGUCAUUUCGAAUUAAUGGAUUGAUGGUAAAAUCUCUUCUGGGGGAUUGCAUCCAUAGACGCAAAAGUUUAUCGCAAUAUAUAGAAGCAACAGUUACAUAUUUCUUAGGUGUCUAGUAAUUCUACAAAAUAUUAUCCGUUGAGAGUGUAGAUUAUACGUUUAGUCAUCUCCAUUCAUUUUAAUUUAUGCUAAAGAAUAAAUAAGCAAGCCUCGCAAGGAUGGAAUGGGACUUUUUUAUAGCUCUCACGUAAAAAAUCAAGGGGAAAAUCCUCCAAUAACCAUAGAGUCAUUUUUUUUACCCUAUAUUAUAAAAUGUUUCGUACAUUUAUUUCUGGAGGAAAAGAAUAUUAGAAAAAUUAUGGUGGCUAGAAAUAAUGUCUUCAAAAAGAUAUCGUGAGUUGCACUCGCACGUCUACAACAGGCGAGACUGUCUCGAUUCGCCACGUGAGUCAACGCUGAGGCUUUCUUUUUUGUUGGUAAAAUCAACGCUGCUGCGUUGAGCAUAUUUUGGGAGAAAGCUCGUGGAAAGAUGCAAAGCAACUUGAAGGUUUUCAACCUGCAAAAUGCUUUAAAAAGAAGAAAAAUGUUACGUUAGUCGGCUUAUUAUAUCACCGACGAGAUAAUAGAAUUAAUUAAUGCUGUUAUAACAUGUAAACAGAAUAUAUGUAGUUCUCCAACAAUUCAAUUUUUUUUAAAAAUCAAUGACCUCGGUACAUAGUCACAAGUUGACUUGUAUGAAUACCAACUUUAAAUUCUUGCUUGUUAGGGUGGACACAAACAGGAAGGCCAACAGCAUGAAAUCCAAUUUACUUUGGUUGCGUUUGGUUCAAUAUUUGAAAAAAGCUUUUGGGUAAAUGCAAAAUACUUUAGCAUAAUUUUUUUUCAUGAAAAGCAAAUACUGUUCAAUUUUCUUCUUGCUCUUAUGCAUAACUAUUUCAAUCCUUUUGAUGAGAAUUAGUUUUUGACCUUGUCUCUACAAUUAGAAGCAUCAUGUUAUUGUCAAUUUAUAAUAAUCGAGCGACAAAUAUUACUGACUUCUUUUUUCUUCCCCUUUUUGGUAUAGGAUUGCGAAAAUAGGUCACAUAAAAGAUCUAGACUUUUAAAGUAUUUUGGAAAGAAACAAAAAGGAGAGAUUCUCUAUCCUCAUGGGAUUUAAUGCUAACCUCUCUUUUUCUCACUCCCCAAAAUUCACACCUUGUAAAUGGCACUUUGAUUUCCUCUUGAUUUCGUGUUCCUCGCUGUAUUUUCAAUUAAUCGAUGCAUUGUUCCCUUUAUUUCUUUUAAUCUCCGGUCCUUACACUUUGCUAUUCAAGCAAUUUAUCUUUCUUGUCAUUUAGGUCGAUUUAGCAACAUCCGUUUCAUGCCUUCCUCUCCAGUAGGGGUGGCAAAUGAGUGUGUCAGGUCGGGUAUAGGUCGGGUCGAAAAUGGGUUGACCUAUAUUUGACCCAUUUAACCCGUUUUGACCUAUAUUCCUGUAGUAUAAAUCUAGUGACUCAUACUCGACCCGACCCGUACCCAACCCGAUCCGUAUUGCUAAAACCUACUUAUUGUUAAAAUAUUUUUAUGCAAUACAAAUUUUUUAACAAUUUUUAUGCAAUACAAAUUUAAUGGAAAAUUUUUAUAAUUAUUUUUAAAAUAUUUUUUUAAAUCGAUUUUUUUAAUUUUUUAACUAUAUUUUUUAAUUAUUUUUUAUUUUUUUAAAUGUAUUUUUUAAUUUUUAUUUUUUUAAAAUGUAUUUUUUAGUUAUUUUUAUUUUAAAAUAUAUAUUAUUAAUUAUUUUUAUUUUAAAAUAUAUAUUAUUAAUUAUUUUUAUUUUUAAAAAUAUAAUUUUUAUUUUUUAAAAUAUCAUUUCUAAUUUUAAUAAUUAUUUUCUCUUUUCUCUUUUUUUUUUCUUCUUCUUCGACUAGCCGCUGGCCACGACGACGGCUAGUGACCGGCCACAGGCGAGAUCGAGCUUGCCGGUGUUAGGCAGAGCUCGAUCUUGCCGAUCCGGUGAGGCUAAGGCCCCACCCGACGUCAGCAAGCUCGAGCCUCGCUAGUUGUCGGCGAGGCCGAGCCUCGCCGAAUCUGGUGAGACUCGAGCUCGCCGGCGUCGGGCGAGGCUCAAGACUCGCCGAAUCGCCCGACACCGAUCUCGCCAUUCUAACGAGGUUGAGGCGUCGCCCGACGCCGGCAAGCUCGAGCCUCACUAGUCGUCGGCGAGGCUGAGAAAUCCGGCGAGGCUUAGUAGUCGGCGACCUUCAAGGGAGUGGCGGAGGCAAGCCUUAGAGGCGGGCGGCGGAGGGCUGUCGAAGGGCUAAAGAAGGUGAAGUUCAUGUUUUUUAGGUUUUAAAAAUGGGUCGAAAAUGGGUCAGAACAUGUGACCCAUUUUCGACCCAUAUAAAAUUGAACUUAAAAUGGGUCGAAUGUGGGUGAUAGCCCAUUACAACUUCAUAACCCACAUUGGACCCAUUUGUGAAAAAUAUGGGUGCAAAAUGGAUCCAUGACCCAUUUUGCCACCUCUACUCUCCAAGCUCACACCUUACACGCACAUGCACCUUUCGAUCCAUUUUUGAAGACUUUUUUUUGUGCGAUGUGGUCGAACUCGAACCAGGGAACAAAGUUUUAUGUUUUGAAUUUUUUUAAUCAUUCGACCAUCAGAUUUACCUAGGUCAAUUUAGCACCGACGAAUAUGUAACUAAUUUUGCUAUCGUGUAUAAGAACAUUACCAACAAGAAAACUUUAAGGUUUAUUAGCAAUGUAAAUUCAUCAUUACAUACAAAAUUGCAUCUUUAAUCAUAAAUAGCAGUAAUUGAGAUUAUUGAUAAUUAUUUUAGUUAUUCUAUUGUGAAGAAAAAAAUAGAAAAAAUCUCGAAUAAGAGCUUGAAGUGAUUUCAUUUUCUCAAAUAAGGACAUAGAGCAGAUAUUGUUUCAAAUAAAGGUUCGAAAUGUCCUCAUUUUCUUAUAUAAGGGCCUAAAGUGGAAUUGUUUCAAAUAAGGGUUUGAAAUAGCUAUAUCAAUCCCAAAUAAGUGUCUGAACUCACCCGCUGUGAUGGGUAAUUUCAUCUUUUUAAAUUUUUCUUUUUUUUCGUAAAAAUAAAUAAAACUAAUUAAAAAAAGAGGGGAACACAUAGGUUGGAGGCUGCUACCCCAUCGUCGUUGGGAUGGCAACGAUGGCCGAUGGGGUUGUCGGUGCCUGGGCAAGGACCGGCGACCUCAGUCGACCAGAGGCGAGGGCCUGUUGGCACUCGCAAGGGACAAGAGAGGGUGGUGACCCUCUCCUAGAUCUGAGCGAGGGUCAACAGCCCUCGUGCUGGCCUGGUAGUGCUCGCCUAGGGCCCUUGGACUUGGUUGCCUAGGUCUAGGAGCGUUGGGCGAAGGCCAACAACCCUCGCCUAGAUCUAGGAGAGGGUCGCCACUAGGGGUGUGCAUGGUCCAGACGAGUGAUUCCCAACCUAGAAAUAGAAAUCCCCUGCUAAUGACCAGUUUCGAAAAAUUGAAAUCGGGAACCGUCCAUUAGUUGCAUAGAUCCACCUGGGAACUAGACCGCCGAUCUGAUUCGGUUCCCUAGUGGAUUCAUGGAAUCGGUCUUUAAUAGUCAAUGGAGCAACAACCACCCAGAAUCAGAAUAGGAGCUGGCAACCUUUUUUUAUCCCUUUUGUUUUCUUGGCCCUGAGGGUUCUACAAGGGUUUAUGCAAAGCUCUGUUGCUGCGAAGCCUAGCUUACUUGUUGCCCUGACUUUGUAGCUGAUGGGUUCUACUAAUUACAUGUUGAAGAGGUUUAGUGAUAGUUUGGGGCAUUUGAAUAGAUCUAAUAGGAUGUUGGCUAAGCUAGAGGAAGAGGGAUCUAGAGUGGAGGACAUUAGACCCAUGUAGCACUCAAUGCUUCUUGAGUUGGCGAACAUGAAGAUGAUGAUGGCAAGAAGAGGGGAUGCUAUUAGGGAUCUUAGGAAGUGUCUGGAAAUUUUUUUAAUAUUAAAAAUAAUAUAUUAUUAUAAUAUAACUGAUCCAGUUUAGAAAGGCAAUUGGGUGAAUUCGCCCAUGGAACUAGAAACCGAAUUGGUACCCACCAAUUUCUAUAAAUUGGAAUUGGGCACCAGACCGGUUCUGAGCAGUUUCAGCCUAGUUCUGAGCAGUCCGAGCAGGUCCUAGUUUCUUUGCACACCCCCGGUCGCCGCCCUCUCCCGUCUUAGCCCUAACUUGUGGUUAAUGGGAGUCGCCGAUGAGCCCACUAGCCAUCGUUGCCUCCCCAUCGGUGAUGGGGCGGCCACAGGCCUCCCGCCUAUGUGUUCUCCUUCUCUCUUUUAUAAAGUUUUAAUAUAAUUAAAUUUAAAUUUAUAUUGUGUUUGGACAAAAAUACUCCUGAUUGGUUGAAAUUUUUUAUUGAUUGGCAAGCUGGCAAGAUUAGGCCCUUAUUUGAAAUAAUUAUAAUCACUUCAGGCCAUUCUUUUAGGCUAAUAUAGCUACUGUAGGCCCUCAUUUAAAUUUUUUUGAAAAACAUAUUUGUACAUGAAAUUUGUGAUAAUUGUGCAUUACAUUUAUUUAAGUUAUUAAAAGAAUUUCAACUAUUGUACUGUGAACAAUAUGAGAAUUAGUAUUAUACAAAGUGCAAAAUAUAAUAUAUUAUUAAUAAGAAUUAGUAAGAAAUUAUUCGAAUAUUAUGAUUAAGAAUAAUAUUAACCACAAUGGUAUGAUAUCAAACUAAUCAUUCUAUUAUUGCGUCAUUAAUACUAUUCUAAUGAUUAAUAUGCAUAUUUUUUAAUAUGUGAGAGGGAGAGAGAGAGAUAUGGUGCUUGGGAAAAGUGAUAACAGUUUUGAUUGUAUAGCUAUUAGAUAAAGUCAUGUAAUAACUAUUACAGUAGAAACUAUGAAAGGGAUUACAGUGUAUAAGCAAUAAGUAAUGAAAGACUAACUUUUGUCUUAAUGAGUUUCUAGUUGAUGGUUAUUUAUGUCUAUUUUCAUAAACCAUCAUUGACAAGCUUAAACUUUCAUAUAUAAAUGAUAUGUACCUUUUCUUCGGGAAAGGCUUUAAUGGGCACGACAAACGAUGGAGAUCGAUGGUACUCUAGGUAUUGCUGAAAGUUACGAUGAAAUUUAUUCUCUUUCUCUCUUUUAUUUAUAAUUAUUUGUUAUGAAAUUUUUGUAAUUCAAAAUAAUAUAUACCACCCCAUCCCUCAUUCCUCCUUGUUCGUCUCUGUGACCCCUAACGCACGACUCUCAUUUCUUCUUCUUGGUUUCCCAUAUCCAGCUUGCUCUGCCCUCGCUCUCUCAACUUAUUUACAUCUUGUGUUGGGGGGCAUAAAUGCCUUCAUGGUUGCGCCAACGCUUCGACAACCAUUGUUGUCCCAAUCGCGAAGGGACAGUAUUGAAAACGAGUAUUCACAUAAUCACAUCAGUGAUCGGUGUUGGAGUCCUAUCCUUGGCUUGGGCCACCGCACAGCUUGGCUGGAUUGCUGGCCCUAUCACCAUGCUCCUGUUCGCCCUUGUCACUUGCUACACCUCCCAAAUCCUCGCCGCCUGUUUCCGCCUUGAAGACAACACCUACAUGGAUGUCGUCGCUGCCAAUCUCAGUAUGCUAAUACUGUAUCGGUGUUCAUUUUUAGAUUCAUAUACUAAUGUCUCUAUCAUGACCAAUCAAGGUGCAUUGGGCGCUAAAUCUUCUCUUCGAAUAAAUUCUCCAGGUGGGUUCAAAGUCAUGACCAAUAGGUAGUUGUCUCUGUCAUGACAACUACCUAAAAUGCUAUUAGUUACAAUUAUACAAAGUUUACAAUUUCAUAUGUAAAGAUGAAAUUACAUUGUUAAUUGACAUUAAGUUUUAUUACUAAUAUAGUUAUACAAAAUAACAUAAUCAAAUGCACAUUGUCUAUGCUGAAUCGACCUAGGCAAAUAUGUCAGUCAAGCGGUUGGAAAAACAAACACAAAAGUUUACUCUCUGGUUCCAAUUCAACCACAGAGGAAAAUUAUUUAAAAAUGUUUAAAUCUAUUGCAAAUGUGUCAUAAUUUUGUCAAUUUAAUCUCAAGUCUUAUAAUAAUUUACCAAUAGAGUCCAUCCAAUCAAUUUUAAAUAGAAAAUCAUUGACGCAAACAUCAGCUAUUAUAUGUGGCAUUAUUGGUAUUGACAUGGACAAAUUUGUAAUUUUGUAAUUUUUUUAAUUUUUUAAUUUUGAAUUAUUUAUAUUUUAUUUUUUUUCAUAUAUUUUGGGUGACCAUCACUAACAAUUGAACCCUUGUCGGUCCCUAGCAAGGGUUAUGACCCUUGCCCAAGCCCUUGCAAGCAGCAGGUAAGGGCCACAACCCAUGUUAGAUUUGGGCAAGGGCCACCUCCCUUGCCUAUGGUCGGUGGUGACCCUCGCCUAACUCUCUUCAGCCAUCGCUCAAGAUCAACCAACUACAAAAAGGAAAGAAAACACUGAAAAAAAAAUUAAAAAUUAAAAAUUAUUCACAUCAGCAAUAACAUGCUACAUUGAACUGCUGGUGUUGAUUGGAACAUUGCAUCAAUGUUUCUUGAUUAAAAUUAGUCGAAAGAGCUAUGCUAAUAAAUUGUUAAAAAGUUUAGAACUAAAUUUAUACAAAUACAAUAUAUUUAAAACUUCUUUGAUAAUUUUCCCAUCACAAAGUGCUCAAACUAUGCGUCAAUUAAGUUUUUCAAAGAUGGAUCCGGCGGUGCACGUGUGUAACGCGUGCUAGCCCGAAGAGCAAAGGGUGAAAUGGAUUUUGCUUUUCUGACCUAAAUGACAAGCAAGACAAAUUCCCUGAAAAGUAAAGUGCAAGGACCGGAGAUUAAAGGAAAUUAAAGGAACGGUUCAAGAAUUAAAUAAAAUUUACUUUAGGAUCACGUCAUUGAAAAGGAAAUCGAAGCAUAAACAUUGGAAUUGAGAUUAUUGGAACAUAUGUGUCGUCGGGAUAUUGAAAGGAAAGUUGAAACACUUGAUGCUCAAAAUUGAAACGAACGCUACACCGGUGUGUGCAGUGGACUUUCCUAAUUGCAAGCUUGACUAUAGAACUAAAACUGGAUCGGAAAAACAAUGUUCCGAGGGGAAGAUUUGGUAGCAUUUCAGCAUGGUUUGAGCAGUGUGAUGACACUCGAAUUUUUGUCUGCAUUUUAAGUAUCCAUGCAUUUUACAAAUAAUAUAUAUAAGAAAAGGGGGGAUAAAAGAUAAAAAGCUUAAAAAUAUGUAUAAAAAUAUGUAUAUAUAUAUAUAAGACAUAUAUAAUAGAGAAAAAAAUGGAAAUAUAAUUCAGAGCAUAUUAAUUCAGAGCAUAUUCUCUUUAGUAAGUUUCCGCCCUGUUAAGCCCACGUGGCCAGCCCAUGCGUCUGACUCACUUUCCUUGGCCCAUUUCUAUGUUUCUUUUUUUUUCAGCCAUCUCCCUUUUGUCUCUCGUGGCCCAUCUUUUCUUAUUUUUUAAGCCUACGAUUGGAGCCCAUGUCAAAACCAAACAAAAAAAAUGCACAGCUCAUCACCCAUUUUCUCUCCUCUGCACACGCGCGUGAGGCUUGAGCCCAGCAAAGGGAAUGAGGACGUGCGAGACAGCGAGUGACCAUGACGAAAGCAGAAGGAGUGAUCCACAUUUACUUCUCCGUCGGAUAAAAUAUUCGGUUUGCAAUAGCGUCCGCAUAUUUACUAUUAACUAAUUAAAAAUUGAAACGAAGGCAUCAGAGAAAUAAAUUAAAAAAUCCCUUUAAUCACCUAGAUUUCUCUUUUCCUCCUCUUCCAUCUGCACGCGCGAGCCUAACCUCCGCCCCUCCUUCCGCCAUCGCCACCGGCGGAGUCGGAGUCGCCGGCGCCGCAUCAAACCAGUUUGGCCAUCUCCUCCGCCCGUGCCUCAGUUCCAAAUCCGGCGGCGAGGGACUAGAUAUGGUCACGAGAGAAGCCAUGGCUGAAGCUGAUCUCUCUCAUUCCACCACUCAACAGAGAUUCCAUGGACUGGAACCGUUGGCCAUGGCUCCAGAUCUGGAGCCCUGGCCGCGAGCCCACUGCUCUGCGUCUCCAAGAGGGUGGACGCGGAGGUCGAUUGUCGCUCACGGCUAUGGCUCCAGAUCUGGAGCUUUGGCCGCGAGCCCACUGCUGUGCGUCUUCAAUCUGCCGCCGGGACCACGGAGAGGGUGGACGCGGAGCCCACUGCUCUGCGUCUCCUAAUCUGCGGCUUAGCCGCCAGGACGACAGAGAGGGUGGGCGCUCAUAUCUGUGGACGAGAAGCCGUCCAUGGCCGACCGCUACUCUGCAUCUGCAGAUCUGGUUUGCUGCUCAACAGCUUUGAGAUCGAGUCUUGGCUCGUCCAUGGCUGCCGGCGACGAGCUCAACAGCUUUGCCGCAGACCGCGGCGGCCACGGUGGGGCGGUGGUUCAAGACAGCGGCGGCGGCGGCGGCUUGGGCGGUGGAGAUAGCCGAGCCCAGGCGGAGCGGAUGUUGAAGCUGGAGGGAAAAAGAGGGAAAAGAAUUAAUAUUUUUGAAUUUACAUGUCAAUAUCCACGUGUCAAAAUAUAAUUAGAUAUUAAGUAAAGCAAGCCUGUUAGGUCAGAUGUUUGACGUCAGCAAUUAACAUCGAAUAUCUCGAACUAUUCCGGAAAAAGAAUCAAUUUUCCAUUCUACUCUAAAUCUGUGGCUGUCACUUCAUAUUUUGCUCCCACUAGAAACAGGAGUGGGCGUAAGGAGCGACAGGCGUAGUGGAAAAUGAUUCGAUUGUGGAGAGGGGGGAGGAAUGCGUGAGAGGGGCUGGCUGUUUAUGGGUAUCAGGCAGAAUGCUCGGCCAUAAUUUGCAAGGGAGGUCUCGCUGGUUUUUGAGAAGUUGGAAGGCUGGCUCGAGAGGAAGCUCUCUGGAGACGAAGCACAAUCGUACCUUCUCCCUUCAUCUCUUCUCGCCUUACAAUCCUCCCGAUCUCUCCUCUGACAUUCACCCACCUCCUAAACGCCAUCCGCUCAUAACCGUCCAUCGCCGUCGCUCGCCUCAUCCUCAAAGGAUACCAGUCACGCUCUGUGUAGGGCUUUGCAACGGAGACUUUUGGAAGCUCAUGGCUUCUCCUUUGAGUGGGGAGGGCUUCGGCAAGAGGAGGGAGCUUCGGCCAUUGGACAACCUCUUGCGCGACCGUCGAUCAUCACUCUGUCCACGACUGAGCGGAAGUCGUAGACCUUAUCCCUGGACGUGAAAGAAAGCUAUUCGUCGUCCGUCAAUCUUCGCCGCUGACUGCACGACGACUAAGACCCAUCCCCGAACCAGGUGAGCUCUCGCUCGGCUUUACUGUGUUCUAUAAAUUUUGGUUUGAGCGAUGAAAUCCUGAGGAAUUUAGUCGAAGCUAAGGUCGUUUAGUAGUGAGUUAUCUUGAGUUGGACGUUGAUGCAUCUUGUUUAAGCCGAAGGCUCUUUGGUUCUGGAGUUUAUAAUCAAUAGUGCAUACUACGGGGGUGUUUAGUUGGGUACCAAAGUCCCUUGGGGAAAACUUUUGGUGUUUGGCAAAUUUUUUGGAAGCUCUUUGCCCCAAAUAUGAGCAUUCCGACUGCUCAAUGCUGAAAGCUGGAGAGGGGCAGCAUUCAGCAUUCGGCAUUUAGGAAAUGCCACGCCACUGUUCAUCUUUCUUCUUCCCCAGUCUUCUUCUUCUUCUCGUCUUCUUCUUCUUCCCGGCCACCGGCCUUCUCCGGCAGCCACCGCCGCCGCCAUCUGAGGGUCGCGCGUCGCCGGUGACCACCGUCUAGGGGUGGCGCGACGCCGCCUGAGGUCCGCGUCGCCUGAGGUCGUGCGGACCCAGGCGGCGUCGCCUGGUUCCUGGCCGCUGGAUUUGAUUUUCAGAUUUAAAAAAAAUAAAUAAAUAAAAGUAAAAGUCCAUUUGUAAUAAGUUUUGUCAAAGGGUAUUUUUGCACAAGCCACUUUCCAAUGCAUAAUUUGCCAAACGUCCGAGCAUUCUCGAAAACCCCUUUACCCUAAAAAUAUUUGCAUUUGGCCAAAGACAUUUCCCCAAAUCGAACCAAACGGGCCUUACAUGUUCGAUGAUUUGCCUGAAUGAAGCAUAAAAAUCUUCAUGAGUACCGGAUCUGAUGGUCAAAGGUUUAGGUGAAUCAUAGUAAACUAAGACUAAUCCAGCACGAAAAUUUUUAAUCUAGACUUGUAUGCAUUAUCUCUGGCUCAAAGAUUGCAAUAAAUCUUGCUCUGAAACACGUUUGUUAUCAACUGUUUGAUGGAAUGCUUAAGUGAAGUGCUGAAACCUGCAUAAUCGGAUUGAUCUUUAGAAGCCUAGUUUAAUGUGUUUGUUCUUAUAUUGUGAAUUUACGUCUGAUAUCACUCUUUUAUCUUUGUUUCCUUGUGAUGAUUUUCAUAAUAUAUGCAUCAAUCUGUCAGGUCGGAACGCAAGCGCUGCUCCCUCGCUCCAACUACUGAUAUGACUUUGAGAAUACUUUGCAAGGUAUCUUGGUAUGACCUCUGCCCAUGUCCAUACGCCCAACGCUUUCUUUAGUCUUGUGACCUUAAAUAAGCAACACUUCAGUUGGACUAGGACCAAGCACUAAAAACCCUCUUUGCAAAUCCCAACGCAACUCUUGUACAGCCUUAGCAUCGGUCCUGCACUCGAGCCUGCUAUCACCUCCUUAUAUGAACACUUCCACUUCGUUUGGCUUUUCUCUUCUCUUCUCUCCUUUAUUAAAACUUAGUCCCACGGUUUAAGGCCAUCCUAGUUAGCACUUCUUGCCAUUUUAAUGCAUUCGUGACUGUUUGUUUGCUGGAAAUCUGGGAUCGGAAAUGUUAGCUUGGUAUGGUUAUUUCCUUUUGUUGUUGCAGUCGAUUGUUUGAUGGAAUGUUUAAGUGAAGUGCCUAAACCCGCAUAAUCGGAUUGAUCUUUAGAAGCCUAGUUUAAUGUGUUUGUUCUUAUAUUGUGAAUUUACGUCUGAUAUCAUUCUUUUAUCUUUGUUUCCUUGUGAUCUUCAUGGCAUAUGUAUCAAUCUCUCAGGUCGCCGGAAAAGCAAAACCUCAUCGAAACGCAAAUGCUGCUCCUCGCUCCAACUACUUAUAUGACUUUGAGAAUAGUCUGCAAGGGCAUCUGUUACUUCCAUCUAUGUUGGUAUGACCUCUGUCCAUAUGCCCAACGCUUUCUUUAGUCUUGUGACUCUUAAAUAAGCGACACUACAGUCGGACUAAGACCAAGCGCAGAAAAGUCUCCUUGCAAAUCCCAAUGCAACUCUUGUACAGCCUUGGCGUCCGUCCUGCACUCAAGCCUGCUAUCACCUCCUUUUAUGAACACUUUCACUUAUUUUGGCUUUUCUCUUCUCUCCUUUCUUAAAACUUAGUCCUGCAGUUUAAGGCCGUCCUAGUUAGCAUUUCUUCCCAUUCUAAUGCAUUUGUGACUGUUUGUUUGCUGGGAAUCUGGGAUUGAAAAUGUUAGCUUCGGUAUGGUUAUUUCCUUUUGUUGUUGCAGUCGCUGGAGUUAGGUGUUGUUGGCCGGAGUUGGAUGUUGUUGGUCGGAGUGGAUGACUGGCAGAGAGAGGUGGUUAGGCGGUGAUGUGGAUUCCGGUAACGACAUGACCGGAGCGAUGGUGCCGGCGUCGGGACUUUUGGUUCUGGAAAAACGAAGUUGCAGGUAGAUUAUGAAGAGGAAAAAGACAAAACAGAAAAAGGCAAAAACAAUAAAAGAAAAGAGAGAAAAAAAAAAAGGGGUGUUUGGGGCUUCCUUAGUGUGGGCCGAGUCUUAUGAGGUUUCGGGCCAGUUGUCAUUUUGGGCUAGAACCUAAGUGGGCUUAGUUAAUUCCGAGUGGGCUUUUAAGGUUAAUAUUUUAAGUCCAACCCGAACUGAUAAGGUUCAGGUCGGUUUAGUUGGGUCGGGUUUAUUGACCCGGUCCUAAUAUCUUUUAUGUUAAUAUUAAAAAUAUAUAUAAAAUAAAUAAAUAUUAAAAAAUUAAAAAUAAAAUAAAAUUUAAAAUUCAGAAAAUGAUAAUAAGCUUUAUAAAUUUUAGGAAAUGAUAAUAAAAAAUUUAGAAAAUUCAAAAAUCAAUACAAAAUUAGAAAUUUUUUAGAAAAUCAUUAAAAAAUUAAAAAAUCUGAAAAAGUCAUUAGAAAAUGCUAAACAAUUAAAAAUUGUAGAAAACUCUUAGAAAUUAAAUCCUAAAAUUAGACAAGACAUUAGGGUUUUACAAUGAGCUUCCCCUUUUAUUGUCCUUUUCUCUUUUAAGAACAAUAUUAGGAUGCUUGUGUACUUUCAUUUACGAUUAUAAUUGCUUGUGCAUUUUAAUUUUUUUGUGUUACUUUCCUACUUUCAAAUGGUUAGAGCGGUUUUUUUUAAAGAUAAUUUAUCAUGGUUUUAGUUAGCAUUUAAUCAAGUUAGGUACCAAAAGGGCAUUAGUCUUAGGACUAAUGUAAUCAAGUCUCUGAUUCUUGAGUCUCCGAUUGCGUAAAUAGUAAGAUAUUCUCAUGUAUCAUAUUGGGUUUUUAGCCAACCAAAAAAGGGCUAGUGGCAACUUCUUUGUUAAAAUUUGCAUAGGCUUAUAAUUGAAAAAAAAAAAUUGAACGUUCAAUGUCGCAUGAGAUAUGGGUUUAAGUGGAAGCAAUAUUCUAAUCCCUAUCUUUAAAGGACCACCUUAGCCUUAAAAAAAUCGUGCGGCACAUUGCUUCUCGUCCAUCCUUGUUGUUGAGGGCGAAUAUGGUUCCCUUCAUUAUUAAUCCCCCCCACAAACAAUUGACAGCUUUAUCAAAUUACCCCAAAAAAAAAACUUAUAAAUGAUGACACCAUUGAACUCCCCUGGUGCGUAGAUCACUUAAAUUGAAAAAAUCAUUGCCAUUUGGGAGGUGGGCAGCAAGCCGCAUCUCAUUCUCUUGUCUUUAUAUCCUCCUUGGAUCUUCCUCCACGAUGACUGGAAUUCACGGGCAUUCCUGCUUCAACCGUUCUCACUUCUCUAAAAUUUCACUCGAUUUACUUCGAUCGGCUUCCUUGGCUUAUACUCGUGCCCGAAUCCGACCUAAUAUCUGAGCUGUGCCUGACCAAAAAGAUAAAAAGUAGCCAGAUGAGAACAUAUCAUAUCAUUAAUUUCAAUGAAAGCAGUUUGUAUGUGAUAUGAAAUACUUAUUAUUUCGUUUGGCUGACAUUAUAAUAGCAUAUAAAAAAACUUUAAAAUGUCCUAUUUAAUCCCCCCACUUUAUUAUAUAUAUAUUAGUUACGUUUUACUUUUUGUUGCUCGUUUACAACACAUUUGACAAAUAUGCAGAGCCGGUAAAAUAGAACUUUUCAAAAACAGUGUUCCUGUGUGUAAGGAUAUAUGCAGCAAACAAACUAUUUUUCUCACUUUUACAAGCAUAUUCCGCUGGAUAGAAAUCGUCCAAUCUUGCUUUCUUGUCUGUACCCUAAAAUGCUAUGACUAUUUUAUUCACCAAAAUAUUCCUAAUUUAAAUUUUGUUAAGAAAAAUAAAUCGUCCAAUCUUGCUUUCUUGCGUUUACAUGGCAUCAAGAUUAUUAAAUGAAUAAAUCCAAUUACUGUAUUUAUCCCUAGUACGUCAACGAUAGAUUUAUCCAUCCAAGGUGGGAUUUCUCGUCAUCGAAAAAAAAUUGCGGGGCAACGAAUGAAAAGGGAGAAAACAAUCAAAUCGCUGCAUUUCAAAUUACGUAGAUCUAACAUUGGCAAGUGAAAAAAAAAAAAUCAGAAGUUAUUUGUACAUGAAAACGAAACGAAACUAUAUUUUCUCUUGAAGCAGAUCGAAGUGGAAACAAUAUUCUAAUCUCUAUCUUUAAAGGACCACCUUAGCCUUAAAAAAAUCGUGCGGCAUAUUGCCUCUCGUCCAUCCUUCUUGUUGAGGGCGAAUAUGGUUCCCCUUCAUUAUUAAUCCCCCCUCCUCCCCCCUUCCCUCAACAAGCAAUCACCAGCUUUAUGAAAUUACAAAAAAAAAAAAAAAAUACUCAUAAAUGAUAAGACCGUUGAACUCCCUUGGUGAUUUGAUCGCUUAAAAUGAGAAAAUCAUUGCCAUUUGGGAGGUGGGCAGCGUGCCGCAUCUCAUUCUCGUCUUUACAUCCUCCACGACCGAGGGGUGAGGAAAAGACAGCCUAUUAGGAAAUAUAGAAGGCAUUUGAUUUGGUACUUUAUGAGAGUGAGAGUGAGAGAGAAUCUUUGUUCUUUGUUUGAUUUACUUUAUUUCCAAAAUAUUUUUUAUUUUAAAGAAGUCUAGAUGUGACCUAUUUUCUCACUCGAUUAGUGGAAACCGACAAUAACCCAAUAUCUUGAUUCAAUAUUAAAGGCCUGUUUGAUAACCAUUCUUUUCCAAGAAUAAUUUCUACUUAGAAAUACACACACACACACACACACACAUAUAUAUAUAUAUAUAUAUAUAUAUAUAUAUAUUUUGUUUCCUGAAUAAGUUUAUGAGCAUUCAAAAGCGUUUAGUAAUUACACAAAAUUUUUAUUCUCAACUUAUGAAGUCAACUAAUAUAAAACUUGAUUCUCUCUCGGCAAUUCUCUCUUUCCCAAGAAAAACCCUCUCUCAAAGAAAUUUCACCUACAUGCUCUCCGCUUCAAUUUCUGUAGCUGAAAGCCUGCUUAGCUCUGCCUUUCUUUGCUAGGCGUUGAUUCCCUUUUUUUUCCCUCCCGAUUUAAUAUGGAGACUUUUUUUGCCUUGUUUGGCGUCUUCUUUGACUCGUUAUUGUUGCUUUUCUUGGUUCGUCGUGGUGAAUAAUUUUGCUUCUAACCAAAAAUUUUCCGAAAACGUUAUCGUCAAUUUAGCCAGUAGGAUGCCUAGGGCAUGGUUCUAUGACUUCUUUAAAAUUUGGUAGAAGCUCUCAUCUCCUGAUUUAGGUGAAGAUCUAAAUAUAGAAGCUUUUACUAUGGAUCUAGAAGUUUCUUAGAGGCAUUCGAUCGAUGGCGGGGUUUUGUCUCCAUAUGACAAUGGUACUGAGAACGCGGAACUUAAGGACACACUAUAAGUAGUAACUUUUAGAGGGAAAGAUUGAACACGCAACACGCAUAGUAUAAAGUUCAAGGGGGGGUUGUCUCCUCUUCAACACUUGUAUGACUUCCUCGCCUUCACCAACGAGGAUAAAAAUUCCUAGAGCUUUGAAGUCAAUCCACCUUCCUUUUGGCGAAUUCUGUAACCGAGAUGGGUGAACCCUCAUAGAUAUCAGGCGCCUUGCUCCACAAACCUCCUUUGUGAUAAAGUUUAAAAGUCUCACUUUUUCCGCCUCUGCUUCCUUCCCUAGAACUUGAACAGGCCUUCCUAUUCAAGCGCUUCUAGCUUAACUAAUCAUAAAUCAUAGAUUGGUCGCCCUUUACAGAAAAUGAGACGAACCCUUGGGCCAAGUAAUUGGGGAAGUAACUGAGGAUGAAGGAUCUCACCCCUUGCGCUCCUCUCAUGUGUUCGAGUGCGUACACUCCUACAUCUAUCGGUACUGUGGCUUGACACUCCUUUGACUCUGGUCUAGCUGUCUCCAUAUGACGAUGGUAUUAAGGAUGCUGAACUUAGGGGCGCAUUGUAAGUAGUAAUUUCUAGAGGAAAAGAUCUCAGCAUAUGCUUAUCACUAAUGAUUUUGGUGAUUGACAGUGGAUCGUUUUUCAAUAUUGUGACAGAUGUGAUAGACUUGAUCUUUUGGGAUGAGAGCAUGCUUAUAGCCAUAAACUAUACUCUUUUAUUUUAUGGGAAUUGUUUUGUUGUGUUUUGUAAUUCUUUUGAGAUUUAUUUUGCUUCGAAACUUCCUAUAUCGUGUUCUGUAGUAAUCUGAUCGUAUUUUGCUUUGCUAGUGGGGUUUCUUUGGCAGCUCAGGUAUGUGCAUGAAUGGGAGUUACGAGGGAUGGAGCCGAAUUGUCAAACCGACUUAACAUCGGUCAGACAAGUCGUGUCCGAAUUUUGCAUUUUUUAAUGAUUGUAAGGAUUUGCAGUGAUUUCAUCCCCCGGUAGUUUCGCCGUGCUGUGUAGAACGAAUUCGGCUUGCUGUGGGUUUAGAGUUGCUCUACAAUUUCGAAGUGCGACAUACAUGCUCGCCGUUCGAAGAAGAAACAAAUGAAAAAUAAUAAAACCAUUUCCUAUGCUUGACUGGAUGGCUCGUCAAAGAAAAUCGAGGAAGAUAUAUCAUUUGAAAGGAACUCUCUCCAAUCCCUCCAAGAUGAGAAAAAGGAUGGCAAGCGAUGACCGCACCGUCGUCCGGUUUCCUUAGAGAAUAUGGGAUUUGAGUGGGUUUUGUUGAAUCCCAUCGACUGGGAUUCGAUUAAUUUUUGUUUUUCAAAUUUACUAAGUUGUUUUUAAUUUGUCUUCAUCAAUAUUAAGUUAUUGAAUUAAACAAAAAUUUUCGUAUCCCGCCUCCAUGAAAUGCUUGCAAUCUUUUACUAAUUAAACUGAAUUGUUAAUUAAUAAACACUCUGGUGGCAUGUCGUUUUGGAAGUGAUACUAAACACUCGAAAAUGCACCGUCAGUUUGAAGCACUUACAGCGAUGCACAUAGCGGAAUACAAAUCACCUUCUCAAUUCAUUAAAAAAUAAGUAACUUACAAAUGAAAAAUUAACGAGAAAAUCACUUCAAUGAGGUCUAAUUCUAAAUAACUCUAAAUAGGACCAAAUGAAAAAAAUUGACAAACUUAAUCAAGAAAAAAGAUAUAGUAUCACUCCUCAAAUGAAUUUAAUAUCUAAGUAAUUAUUCAAAGUGUAAAAAUAGUUCACCUGCACUAAUUAGUUCUAUGGUUUCAUUUUCUUUUUGGAAGGAAGAAAUGGUGUCCAUAUUUAAAAACUUCCUAAAAACAGUAUCUGGUUGCCAAUUGCAUGUCCAUGGCACUUGGAGGUAAAAAAGGCACCUUCAUUCACAAGGAAUGACAGUGCCUUUAGCUUAGCAAGGUCAUGAAAGGAAUAAGCUGAGAUGACUGAAAAUAAAGGCUAAUUGUGCUUGCAUCAACCUAAUGAACUUUGUAGCAACGGAAAAUAUGGAAAAUUUCAAUUCGGUAGCUCACGUUAUAAAUGCCAAGACUCUUUCAUAUUUUGGAAUCUUCUCUUAGACGUGUCCUCAAAUUUCAAAGUUUCUAUGGAGUAAUAUAUUCAGAAGUGAAUGGUCAAUUGGUAGGCUGACAAAUGGGUACACAUAGCAUUGGUUGAUGAUGAAUUUCAAAUAUUGAUGUUAGCAAUUUCACUCGGAUCAUAUAUCAAUUAUGCCAGGGCGCCAGAAUAAGCUCCGAACAAAAUUAUAAGGAAGAAAUUUUCGAGACAAGAAUUAGAAACAUAUGAAGUAAACCUAGCCAAAUGACGUGAAUAAACCAUAUCAAAUUGGGUGCAAUCGCUGUGCGUAACUUCAACAGUGAUUUUAUUAUUUUUUUGGAAACCAAAAAAUAUAUAUUUAUUUCCACAAAAAUAUUUGUAUAAUAAUGUUAAAAAUAUUCUUUUUGCAACAUAUGGGCGAAUCUCUCCCCUGAAUUUCUCGCGCAAUGUGUUGUUUUUCUUUUCUUUCAAAAAUGUUUUUUACAACAAUGUUAAAAAUUAUCAAUAUUAGUGAUAACUGUACCAUACAAUAUAGCAAAUUCCGAACAAAAUUGGCCGAAUGAAUUCAAUUGACAGAAUGUGAAAAUGUUUGGGACUUAUUUGUCAAAAUUAAAAGAUUUAAAAUUGAAUUGGUCAAAGUGUAAUAAGUUUAGAUUUUUUUUUAUAAUUUUCCAUACUUGGUGACUGAUGGGCUCAUCUCUCCCGCAAACGUUGCGUGCAAUAUCCUGUCGAUAUAUUUCUAGCGGAAAUAUAUGAUUGCACCCAAUUAAAGGUGAAUGAAAUGCUAGGAGUUAAUAUACAUGAACAUUAUUCUUCCGAUCGGAUAAGAGUUUCUAAGGGAAUUAUUCAAACUUAGCCCUCGUGAUGGUUCGACCAGUGCUACAAGAUGUUCAUGGGGCGAGUAAACAUCGAAAACAUCCUCAAGAGAAACAAAAGGACCCCAAAAGUGAGCUUUGUGUUGACUUUACUUGUUGAUGGUGCAAAUCAACGCGAUUAUGUGAAAACACAUGCGAUGAUGUUUAGGAUCCAUUUGUUUCGCAAAUGAAUGAUUUGAAAAAUAUUAAUCUAAAAAAUAAGAGUUAAUACCUUAAAAAAAUUCCAAACUGGUACACGUGUGACAAAUUUACCAAAAAAUAAUUUUUUUAUAAUAAAAAAUUAAAAACUGCUAUAUAUGUGACAAAUUUAUUCCAGCUAACCAUAAAAAAUCCCAAACUGAUAUAAAUAUGACAUAUUUAGCCUAAAAUAAUUUAUUCAAUCGCAAAAAAUCUUAAAUUGAUAAUUUGUGAUAAAUAUACACUCCAUUAAAUUGAAUUAAUACUACGAAAAAAAAUUGUAUAAUUGUGACAAAUGAAAAGUAAAAUCAUAAAUUGGUACACUAGUCAACUAUCACGUGACAUUCAAUUUAGUAAUUUGACAGUAAAAUUUAAUGGAAACUAGUAUAUGAUAAAUUUGUCACAAGUAUACCAAUUUGCAGUAAAUUUAUCAAAGGUGUACCGGUUUAGAGUUUUUGAUGGUAAAAAACUUAGGCUCCGUUCGUUUCGCGGAAAAUAACUUCCAGGAAAAUAUUUUCCGAAAUUUCCGGUGUUUGGAUGGCAGAAAAUACACGGUCAACGGAAAAUAUUUUCCGGUCAACAGAAAAUUCCUCUUGAAAUCGCGGAAAAUGAUUUCCUCUUUUGAAAAGAGGAAAUCAUUUUCCGUACCUCUCACACGAGCUCUCGCACUCCUGCUACUUUUUCCUUCCUUCAUCAAUUCUCGUUCUCUCUCUCUCUCUUUCUUGCUCUCCCUGCUACAAUGGCUUCGACAACAUCCUUCUUUGGGAUCAGCCUCCGCCCUCCCCGACUGCUCCUGCCCACCUGCUCCAGUCGGGGCGCCGCCGCCGUCGCCGCGCUCCGCUUCCCCAGCGGCUCGAAGCCGCUCGGGAGGAUCCGGCUCAAGAGGGAGCACUGCGGCGGCGCCAGGAGGCUCGCGGGGAGCCCACCGUCCAGGCCGUGAGCCCUGAUCUCGUCGGAUCUGGCGGCGGAGCUCGCGGCUCGCCGGAUCUAGCGGCAGAGCUCGAGCUCCCGAUCCGGGCGAGCUCGAGCUCUGUCGCCAGAUCCAGCGUGCUCGGGUGAGAUCAGCCGAGCCUCGAGCUCGCUGGAUCUGGUGGCGGAGCUCGCGGCUCACCGGAUCUAGCAGCAGAGCUCGGGCUCCCGAUCCGAGCGAGCUCAAGCUCUGUCGCCAGAUCCGGCGAGCUCGAGUGAGAUCGGCCGAGCCUCGAGCUCGUCGGAUCUGGCCACCGGGUCUUGGUCGGCCGCUGGGCAGCUAGCCAUCGUCAGGCAGGAAGGAGGUGGCGGCGGUGGAAGGAGGAGGAAGAAGGAGGAGGAAGGAGGCGACGGCGGACGAAGGAGGAGGAAGAAGGUGACGGCGGACGAAGGAGGAGGAAGAAGGAGGAGGAAGGAGGAAGGAAAAGAAAAAGGAGGAGGAAGGAGGAAGGAAAAGAAAAAGAAAUAAUAAAUAAUAAAAAUUUCUAUUUUAAAAAAAUAUAUAUAUAUAUAUAUAUAUAAAUAAAAUAAUUUUUUUGGUCAAUUAAAAAUAUUAAAAUUCAAUUUUUGAUAAUUUUUUCCAAACAAUUAAAUGAGCUAACGAACAAUGGAAAAUAUUUUCCACUCAAAUUUUAGAUCUUGGCCGAACACCGGAAAAUAGAGUCAUUUUCUUGGAAAAUGACUUUCAGGAAAAUGUUUUCCGGAAACAUGAUAUUUUCCGUGAAACGAACGGAGCCUUAGUUUGUGAUAAAUUUGUCACAGAUGUACCAAUUUAGAAUUUUUCAGGGUACUAGCCCAAAAAAUAAUUAUUUGUAUCACUUGUUAUAUUUAAUAAAAGCAUUAAACUUCCUUGAUGUGAAUACGCUUAAUAAACUAAGUCACACGACACACAAUUAAAAUGUUGGGUCAUGACAUGACACAACGUGAUAACUUGUUUAGAAAUGUAUGUUAACGUGUAUAACGCAUUUAUAAAAAUAUAAGUAAUUUUACUUUACAUUUUAUUUAAAAUGAACGAUAGAAUUAAAUUUCAUUUUUAUGUUUAAUGAUUUUGUAUCCCUAUAUAUUUGUAUUAUUCCUUCUGACAUAUUGUUAUUUUUCAGAUUAAGGAUAAAAAAACAUUUUUUUGGUACUUACCAAAAAAAAAAACAUUUUUUUGGUCGUUUUAAAAAAAUGAAUAUGAAUACUAAAUGUGUUAAAACGUCUUUAAUUAUUAGUUAACAAUGACUAAACGGGUUAAGCAGAAUAAUUUGCAUGAGACAUGAUUUAUUAUAUGUACGCCAAAUUCUAACCUAUACAUUUACAUAUGGUGUCAUGUCAUGUAAAUGGAUUGCAUCGAAAAUUAUUGAUCUCUAUGAGGUAACAAAUGUCCAAGACAUAGGCCGAUUGAAUAUUCGCCAAAAAACAGUUCGAUCCCUCUUUUCGUUGUCCUACCUCGUUCGAUAGCGAGAAUCAUAGUUGAAUGUCAAUGAUGGGGAUCAUCAAAUUAGAUAUGUUUUUUCAAUUAGGGUAGUGAUGAGUUGUCUUCACUAGGAGUAGUCAGGAGGCUUUUGGAGGGGGACUGCCUAGAUCCCAUUCAUGGGCAAAAAAUCGUUUUCUGAAAGAGAUUGGGCACCGACCGGAGAGAUGGGAGUGGGACAAGUACAGAUGCCAAAAUGGGCUUUCCAUAAUCAGAAGUGACUUGUGGGAUAUCAGUAGAGGAGCUUGUUCCGAGUGCGCACCCCCUUCUUUUUUGGCCUGACCUCUAACUGUCAUGAAAGGACGUUGCGUGCGAAUGGCUUUAGUGCCGCUAGUGGUAUUCUUCGGGAGGAAGGAAUGGCAUUGACCGCUUCAGUUCAGCUGAGUUCGUGUUUCGGGGAUUUGGUAUCGAGUGGAUGACUAGGCCAUAAAUUUUCAGCUUUUACCACACAUUUGUCCGAGUACAUUCUUUGCAUCAGAUGCCUCGGCAUCUUCUCUAUAUAACGUACCGACCCACCCAAGCCUCCUUGUGGAGAAACGUUCUUUACAGUCUCCUAGUUCGAGCUUGGCUUUUCGUAUUGUACAGGUGGGUGCGAACUCUGCCAUGGCAAACCAGCAUCCAGACAACCAGGCCUUCGGUUUGUCCCUUGACAUCCCACGGCAAGGUAGCUCCAAAAGCUUGGACGACGAUGGCCGUGUCAAACGCACAGGUCCUCUUUCUUUUCCUUAUCUUGUCCAAUGUUCAAUCACAAUUAGAGGCGAUCAGUUUUCGAUUUCAAUGGUGGGGACCGUUUUCCAAAAUUGAAGAUAGAAGACCGGACCAGUUGAUCCUAAAAUCCGAAAUCGAACCGGAUUAAUGUUCCGAUCCAAUGAAACCGGUCAAAUUUUUAAAGAUUGAAGGGAGCAGUGUGGUCCUACUUUCAGGCUGUUUAAUUUUCCUUUCAAUCGCAUUUAUGUCACUUCUCACGAGUAUUUAUGGCAUUAACUUCUGUUCAGUCUCUCUCCCUCUCUCUCUUUCUCUUUCUAAGUCUUGUCCCUCCGUGUCCCAUCUCUCUCUCUCUCUCCCGUACGCAAACUUUCUUCCCCUACUCUUCCAGAAAAACCACUGUGACAAGUCCUCCUUUUAGAGAGACGACGAAGAGACUCUACUCCUCAAAUUCGCACCGAGCUUUGCUCUCGAGCCCUCAUGGAUCCUCGUGUCUGUGGUGUCUCCUCCCUCUUCUCUCCUACGCAUUGCCCCACCGGCCCCCUCCAACUCCACCGGGGGUCAGAUCAACUCCAACUCGGUACUCGUCGCCCUCCUCGCACCCACUACUCCAAGCUCGCCGAGAAGGCCCUCCUCCUCCAGACCCUGGAGGACGCCGUCGGCCGCCGUAGAGAGAGGGAAUGAGGCGUGAGAGCCGAGAGGGAACAGCGAACGUGAGAGGUCGCUGUUUUUUAAAAUUUUUUAAGGAAAAGUCACAUUGUUGCUUGUGGUGGGCUCGAAUGUAAACGAAUGCAGGGACGGUAUGGACAGCGAGUGCUCACAUAAUCACGGCAGUGAUCGGGUCCGGAGUCCUGUCCCUGGCUUGGGCCACCGCACAGCUUGGGUGGAUUGCCGGCCCCAUCGUCAUGUUUCUGUUCGCCUCUGUUACUUACUACACCUCCACUCUCCUUGCGGCCUGUUACCGCUCCGGCGACCCCAUCACCGGCAGGCGCAACUACACCUACAUGGAUGCCGUCAAUGCGAAUCUUGGUAUGUCACAUCUGUAUUUGUGUUCAUGUUCAUGUUCUAAUGGUAACGCCUGAGUCAUGUCCAGUCAUGUUGCGUUGGGUGAUGAAAUCUCCUCUUUGAUUAAAUUCUCCAGGUGGGUUCAAAGUCAAGCUUUGUGGGCUGGUUCAAUACCUGAACCUCUUUGGGGUUGCCAUCGGUUACACGAUGGCGUCUUCCUUUAGCAUGAUGUGGGUAUAUUUUCAAUGAAAAUUUUUGUGACUGCUAUUUCGCCAGCGUCCAAAGUAAUGCGAGUUUGAUUGAUUUUGUUGGCUUCUAUGGUCAUUGCAGGGCUAUCGAUAGGUCCAAUUGCUUCCACAAGAAAGGCGAGAAGAACCCGUGCCAUGCCAACGGCUAUCCUUACAUGAUUGCAUUCGGCAUCACUGAAAUCAUCUUCUCUCAGAUCCCCAGUUUCGAUCAGCUGUGGUGGCUGUCUAUCGUUGCAGCCAUCAUGUCCUUUACCUACUCCACCAUUGGGCUUGGCCUUGGUAUUGCCAAAGUUGCAGGUCCGUCUUGCUAAACUGCUCUGGUUAUUUUUCUACACCAUGUCCCUUGGUGAAAGAAGCUGGUCGAAGUACGAAGUUGUAAUUUGAAGUUCUGUUCUGGGUUUUUAAUCUUCAGAGACAGGGGAAAUCAGGGGAAGUCUGACCGGAAUUAGCGUUGGCAACGUGACCUCAAUGCAGAAGGUAUGGAGGAGCUUCAUGGCUCUUGGGGACAUCGCCUUUGCCAAUUCAUACUCCCUCAUCCUCAUUGAGAUUCAGGUAGAUAACUUAAUUUCCUCUCAAAUGCGUGACACGAGAAAAGAGUACUAGUGAUGGUUAAUAGGAUAAUGAAAUUGAAAUCAUUGCCAUUAUAAGUUUGGAUAUGUUUCAGGACACGGUCCGGUCCCCUCCAUCCGAAUCACAGACGAUGAAGAUGGCGAGUCUCGUCAGCAUAGCCAUCACAACCCUCUUCUACCUUCUCUGUGGGUGCAUGGGCUACGCCGCCUUCGGCGACAUGCCACCUGGAAACCUCCUUACGGGGUUCGGCUUCUACAACCCAUACUGGAUGGUUGACAUUGCCAACGCUGCAGUUGUGAUCCACCUCGCCAGCGCAUACCAAGUCUAUUGCCAACCCCUAUUCGCCUUUGUCGAGGACCGCGGUCAAGAAGUUCCCCAACAGCCGGUUCAUCACGAGGGAGAUCCAAAUUCCCAUCCCCGGGCUCAGCCCUUACAAGCUCAACCUCUUCCGGUUGGUCUGGAGGACGGCCUUCGUGAUCGUGACCACCAUGAUCUCCAUGCUCCUCCCAUUCUUCAUUCACAUUGUCAGGCUGCCAGGACCGCUGGGUUUUUGGCGCCUCGCGGUCUAUUUCCCGAUCGAGAUGUACAUUAAGCAGCAGAAAAUACCCAAGUGGAGCACCGAGUGGGUGUGCCUCCAGAUAUUAAAUGUGGCUUGCCAUAUCAUCGCAAUCGCUGCCGUUGCUGGCUCUGUCGCAGGAGUUGUGCUCAACCUCAAAUCCUACAAGCCAUAGCGAAGGCGAAAGGGAUUGUUUUUGUUCUCAUGUACGUUGCAACUUAAAUAAGACCAUACUCUCUUAAUGGCUAAGAGUUGCCUCGUGGGCGUGUGUGCCUUCCACAGGAAGCUGAAGAGUGUCCCACGACCGACGCCCCUGUCCACAUGUAGGUAGUAAGGCCCUGUGUUUGAUAAGAAAUAACUGAUUUUAUUAUGUUUUGGAUUCUGACGCCUAUUGAUUGAGAAAGCCAUAAAGUGUUUCGAGAAACUAAAGAAUAAUAUUUGUGGAGAUUCCUACAAUAUAGAAACUAAAGAAAAGACGAUUCGAGCAUUCACCUUUUUUUUUUUGUGGUCGGUUAGAGCAUUCACUUGUGCAGAGGAGAGUUUAUUCUUUCAUCUUAUCAACGGUCAAAAAGGUCCUUGGGAGAGAAGAAAACCAAAGCAAGGCUUUGCUUUAACUCUUGCAUCUGCCGUAGCCGAAUGUAUACGGAAAAAGGAGCUGCAAGUAGCCGAAUAUACGGAAAAGAGAAAGGCAGGCGUACUUCUCCUGGAAGAAUGAGAGCCGCGUCGCCCCGGAGAAAGACAUUCUCCUUGUUUUUCAGCCGUACAAGGAGAUUUUAAACACCCACUGAAGUUUUACAUUUUAUAAAUAUUUUGAAUUAACUUAAAUCAGAUAUGAAAAAUACUUAAGUAUGUGAAUGAUUAUACCUCCGAUUCUUUAAUUAUACUGAAUUAUUUCUUAUUAGCUUUCUCCGUACAUAUAAAUACCAAUACUUGAAUCAAAUCAUUGUGUCUUUUAUUAUUUCUAACUUAUUUAUGUGGUUUUCUCACAUUGACUUAUUUGCAAAAUCUUAUCAUUUCCGCAUUAAUAUAUUACAACAUUUUAGGAUAUACAUUUUCCUGUGAUGGAAGAACUACUCGGAAAAUGGUAUGAGCAAAAAGGAUUGACGGUGGAGCGGUCUACAUUGAUUGGCCUACUCAAGGAAUGGGUACCUCUUUAAUGGAAGUGGAGACAAAUUGAUAAAGUAUUGUCGUCUUAGGUGGGACAUUUGGGGCGCGUUUGGUUGUGUUUCUGUUUAAAAAUUGUUCCAGGGAACAGAAAUAGAAAAAAGUAUUUCUGUUCCGGGGAACAAUUUUUGAACAAAAAUACGCGUUUGGUAAACUUGUUCCGGGAAUAAAAAAUAAACAGAAACAUGUUUGGUAAAUUUGGGCGAGCCUCGGCCUCGCCGGGGGCCGGUGAGCCUCGCCGUGGCUGGGCGAGGCCGCCGGCCCUCGUCGGCCGGUCGCCGGUCUUUUGGCCGGCGACCGGCCGGCGAGGGCCGAGCUCGCCCAGCGGCGGGCGAGGCGCGGCCUCGCCGGCCUGAUUUGUGUUCCAGAAACAAGAAACACAAAAUUUGUGUUUCUUGUUUCUGUUUCUUUUUUGUUCUUGGGAACAAAAGAACAAAAAAGGAACAGAAACGCACCCAAACGCGUUUCUGUUCCUUUUUUGUUCCCAGGAACAAAAAAACAGAAAAAGUGUUUAAAAACACAAAAAAGAAAUACAAACAAACGGGGCCUUGGAUUCCUAGCUUUAUAGAUGCUUCUGUUGGCCUCUUUCAUGCGGGUGAAACAACUCUUACAUUAUGUAAAUUUCCUUCUUAACAGGAUGUCACCCUUUCAUAGGUCAUAAAUCUGUAGUUUCCUCAUUGGUUGUUCCAAUAGAGUCCUUAACAGUUAACUGUAGCAGUUGGGAUGGAACUGUCAGGCAAAGGUGCCUAUUCUUGGGCAUCUCGUCGUGGUGCUGGACUGAUGAAAUGGAUGAACUGUAGUCUGUCUAAAGAUUUCUUGUUUCAUUUGAUUUCCAAAAAACCAAAAAUAAAUCACCGGUGAAGUUACCCGGGGCAAUUGCACGUAAUUUGACAUGGCUUAUCCCAUCAUUUGGUUAGGUCUUCUUUGGAUAUUUCUAAUUAUUGUCUUGGAAAUUUCUUCCUUCUAAUUCUGUUCCGAGAUUAUUUUGAAGCCCAUGACAUUGUUGAUGGAUUCGCAUUCAUGGUCCGAAUGAAAUUGCUAUUGUUCAUUUUCUGAAAUUUAUCAUCAAUGAACCAAUUGAUCAUGACUAUUUUGAAAAUUACUAUAAAGAAACUUAAAAUUUGGAGACACGUCUAAUGGAAGAUUCCAAAAUAUCCAGGAGUCUUAAUGUUAAUAAUGUAAAACACUUAAUUGGGAUUCCAUUCUCUAUUGCAACAAAUUUCAUUAAAUUGAUGUGAUAGGAGAAUAUUUCAAAGUAAUAAGGCUUGAGUUCACAAUUAACAUUUAGCGAUCGUUUUCUCGUCUACAUUUUUCUUAUUCUUACAAUGUAAAAAUAUUAUAUGGGAGAACUCAUUAAUUACAUCAUCCGCAUGAUUAUUGAUCGAAUACAUAUUCCCUAGUAAUCUGAUCGUGCGGUGCUUUGCUUGUGGCCCGUGGGUUUUUUUUUUUUUUUUUUCAGCUCAUUUAGGUGCGUGAAAGCGAGCUACAGCUAAGAAGCUGAAUUGUCAAACCGACUUGACAUCGGUCGGACAAGUCGUGUACGAAUUUCGCAUUUUUUAAAGAUGGAAGUAACGAUAUUCUUUUCUUUUUUUUUGGUGUCAAAAGAGGAACGAUAUUCCACGAGUCCGACUUUUGCUCGUGGAAAACCCAUUUUGACAUUAUGUACUUGUCCCACUCCCAUCAUCCCUCCAGUCGGGGUCCACUCUCUUUCGAGAAACGAUUUUUUGCCCAUCUUAUAAGAGGCCAUAAAUUCGGCUCACGUGGUGAGGGGACAUCUUAUCAUUUAGUUAAAUAUAAAAAUAUAUAUUCUUUCCGCAUUUUGUUAUGAACACGGAAGCUCCUAACAACGAGAAAAUAUUGGAUGGUCCGGGACCUCCACGCCAGCGUGGUCCCCGGCCACUCACGAGGUGCCAUGUGGAGGGGUGGGCCCCACUUGGUGUCCUCUUCGCUUUUUCUCUUGCUCCUCGACGUAGCGCUCCUCUCUCUCCUCUCUCUCUCUCCCAAAUAACUCUCGGCUGAUGGCUCGGCUCGGCUCGGUUGGCAGAAGAAAGUACGGGUCAAUCGAUAAUGAAUGCGCAACACUCCCGCUUAAAAUUUCUCUCUCCUCACUUGAAUAUUUUCUGGGCUCUCUCUCCACGCGGACGAGCUGCACUUCCUCUGUUUCCUUCUCAGCGUAUCCCAUCCCCUCCGCCUCCGCCUCCCAAAAAGCCUCGCUGGUCCGUCGCCUCCUCCAAGAGCCCCGCCAAUCGCAGCUGGUUCCCGACCCCCUUCGCCUCCGACGGUUUCCAACGCCGAGAUUGAGCGUAAGGUUUGUGCUCGCCUUGGUCUCUAGGCAACUUCUGGGCCUCCGUCCGAUUGCCUCCCUCCGGCGAACUCGUCAUCAACUCCGACUCCGAGCCGCCGUCGCCGCCGCCGAUGGCAUCCUCCGUCUCUGGCAUCUACUCGUUCUCCCCCUCCCUCAGGCCGAAGACAUCGCCAGCCUCCGCCGCGAAGUCGUCGGCCUUCGGCAGGAGGGAGGUGGCCUCGGUCUCGUUCCCGAGCGGUGCCGCCGUCGACCGGGUGCUGUCCCUGUCCGACGACCUCCCUCUCUCUCUCCACCCUCCCCCUUUCCGAUUGGCGAACCACCGCGAGCAGCAGACGAACCAGGAAGCGAACCUAAUAUUUUCUCCCUUCUCCGACGCUCGAUGCCCUCUCUGCACUCUACCCCGACGCUCGACGGCCGAUUUCGCUCGCCUCUCCCACGACCUCCACGCUUUUGGCGGUUCUUCCCUCACGGUUCGGUGAGGUCUCGGGUAUGCCCUCGUGCUGCGUCUCUUCUUCCUUGCUCAGCAACACCGUACUGCCUCUCUCUCUCUCUGAGCGUGUCUCUCUGUGCAUUCUUUCAUCCAUGAGGCAAGCAUUUCGACUAGGGUUCAGGGGUUCAAGUUUUUCUAUUUGAUGCUUGCAAGGGAGAUUAUUGAGCAGGGAAGUGAAUAUUACUGAUGGAAAAUCAUGAGGUCUUGAGAAUUUGCCUUCAACAAAGAGCAAUUUGUUUAUGAAAAUGAAAUUUUUUGCAUCACGCUUUUUCUCAAAAUGAUAAUGAAACCUGUAAGUCCUUUUUUGUAUUUCUAUGGUUGUUUCUGAGGCUUGUAAAUUGUUAUUGUAAAGCAUGUGGGAAGAGUACACGGAAUGACUGGGUUGAAGGACUAGCUCCCUACCUACUGUUGCAGUUCAGAGGCAUUCUGAUUUGUUACCGCAAGUGCAUUUGACCCCAAUGAAUUGUCAUAUUUUGACCAAGAAUGUUGGAGUCUGUAUAGAUAUUCUGAUGUUUUAAUCUAGUUAAUUGAUAUAAUAAUAUGCUUGUAGUAGGGUUAGUCCAUUUGCUUUGUGUAUAUUCGAAUGAAAUGCUUCUCAUCUUAAAUAAAGAUCACAGCCAAUGAUCAGUUAAGUUGCUUAUGAGAUAUAAUUAGCAUCUCAAGUGAUGUUGGAUGAAUAAUAAAAUCGGCAUGAGUUGCACUUUGUAUGUCAGAAACGCAAAAGUACUACCUUCUCUCUAUAUUAAUUUGUGUAAGGUGGAUACCGUGCCUUCUGGUUUUCUCCUACAUUUGGCUUUUUUGGAUUAUUAUUUUUGAGGUUAUUACUAGUAUUUUUUUUGUGCAGAUAAAGCCCCUUUCAGUUACAUAUGGCUUGGGCAUAUCAGAUCAUGAUUCUGAGGGACGGCUGUCACUGCAUAGUUUGAUUCAUUCUAUCUCUUGAGCGGUUACGUUCCUAAUUCUGGUGAUGGCCUGAGAAGACUGGUAUCAAUCUAUUUCAUUGGUUUAUUCUGUUACACACUUUCAAGUAUGAUUCAUUAAUUCUGUUGCUUAUUUAUGUCAGAUGUAUAGGAUUUCACAGUGGGAUCCAUCUCUUGGUAACUACAUAAAGUAUGUUCAGCACUAUGUAGCCCUUUUGUUUUUUGAUAAAGCUAUUUAGACUUUUGUUCAGGAGUCAUUAUUCACCAUAUCAUGGAUCAAUUCUACAACCUAUGAAGGUUUUCCGAUAGACUACUAUUUUUAUUCUGUUGCAAUAUUGUUUCAUCUCUUAGUCAAAUUUGUGCUUGCUGUUGGCCAUACAGGAACUUGAAAAGUUGAAGCCUGUGAUUUUGACUGGCGAUCUGAAUUGUGCCCAUCAGGAAAUAGACAUUUAUGAUCCUGCGGUAAGGGAAACAAUCAAUGUGCCUUUUCUGCCUUUGAUUGACUAGGUGCAUUAAUAAUUUGCAUGAGCUUUUUAACUGUCACAGGACAAUGUCCUGGCCACACCAUAUGCCCCCCACCCCACUUAAAAGAGGGGAAAAACCCCAAAACAGAGGACUGUAAUCAGGCUUUUCCUCCAUACAACUGAAUUUUGUUUUGGGUUUUUGUUGGGGGGGUGUUUGGGGUUUUGUGUUGGGGGUUGAUAAAAAUCACAAUUUAGGCUGUUUGGCAUCCCGAAACAGAAGUUCUUAAUAUGUCUAAUGUUUCUUAUUUCCGUCAUUAAUCUGAUUGUCAUGAGACUCCAAGGAAAUAAAAGAAGUGCUGGAUUUACAAUUGAAGAAAGGGAAUCUUUUGAGACCAACUUCCUGUUGAGGGGCUUUGUUGAUACCUUUAGAAGACAGUAUCCUCAUGCUGUUGGUUAUACUUAUUGGGGUUAUCAGCAUGGUGGGAGGAAGACAAAUAAAGGUAUACAUAGAUCUACUUGAUGGAACAUUAUAUAUCUAAUGUUACACUUCUCUCCUGUAAUGGUGAUAAUAUGAGCAAUGAAAAGCUUUUGUUUUUUGUUGAGUCAUUAUGCAUAUCGUUGUCUUAUCAGAUGAAGCAUAUGGAAAUAGGUAUUAUCACCUGUUAACUAUCCUCUUGCAAUCUACAGGGUGGCGGCUCGAUUAUUUUCUUGUUUCAGAAUCUAUAGCAGACAAAGUUCAUGACUCGUACAUCCUUCCUGAUAUCACCGAUAGUGAUCAUAGUCCUAUUGGCCUGAUUCUCCAGCUUUAGUUCUGUCAUCUCUUUUGGGAUCUUGGUGAAUGGACUGCAAAGGUAGUCCGGCAGCAUCAUCCUAGAUGCUGUUUGCUGAAAAGUAUUGAGCUUUUAUUGUCAUUGUCAUUCAUGUUGAAGCCACUAGCAAGGGAAAGUUUUUUUUGAUGAAAUUUGCUUAGCAAAAGGGGGCAAAGAAAAGAAGGAAGAGAUGAAGGGGCUUACUGUAUUUACUUUGUCUGGGCCCUGUGGAGUGAUCUGGGUUUUUCUAGAUUAUUUUACAAGGCAUCUUUUGGAGGAAGAGUGAUGGAACAUUGAAAUCACUUUCGAAAAAAUCUGUGCAAGUUUUUGAACAUACAUUCUGAUGCCGAAGCCAGCAAGGGGAAAAAUGCUGAAAUGCUGAAAUGCUGAGUGCAAGUUGUAGGUACAACUGUUCUGGUUCGCAAUUCAAUCUGAUUAUCUGGUGGAUGUUUUUUUUUUAAUUUAAAAGUUAGUCUGGAAAGACAGUUGUCUACAACCGUCUGCUGCUCAGUCUUUUAAGGAGUAAGGCUGGGCGUACAAUGAUUUAUCAUGGAUCCUUGCUUGCGUCUUGUUGUUAGAGAACCUCAAAGGAGCACGUAUCAGCAAUGUCAUUUUUGGCUCUUGAAUUUUGUACAUGAACGUGGUAGACCUGAAGAUGAUGAUGUUCACAUAAUUAGGUGUGAAAAUGUCGGCAAUGUUUUAGACAAAUGUAAUUAGCAAGUUUCAUUAUUUUAUGGAAUCCUCCAGCUGCUCAAGUGUAUUACUGUUUGCUUGAUUCCUUGACAACUACGAAGGCUCCUGGAAUUUGUCUUUGCAUGAUAAGGGAAAUUUGCUUGGAAUUGUUAUGUUGGUUAUACCAGGAAGUCCCAGCAAACUUCACAAAGGCUAGGAUAAAGCCUGAACUGCUAAUUAUUAUCAUCGUCUAUCGACAUGUUUUUGCCAUCUUUAAACUUUUAUCUAUAUCAAUGAACUGCAAUUGCUUCUUCAUAAAUCCUGAACUGCUUAUUAUUGCUUCUUUCUUAGUUAUUCAUGCUCAUAACAUGAACUUAUCAUGCCCACUGACUUCAUAAACCAAGUGAGAAGACAGAGGCUGAAGCUCAAAGGAACAGUAACAUCAAGAAAUGAAUCUACCUCGUGCGUUUAAUUAGCACGCCUGUUCCUCACACCAAAUCAAACAUUGGGAUGUCAACAUGUAAACUUAAUUACAUCAUUCCGAAUUCUGUGAACACACGUCUUAUACAUACUCAUCGAACUUUGAGCGAUGUUUGGUGGAAUUAGAAUUACUUAUUGCCGACAGUUAGAAUUACUAAAGAUCGUGAACCAACAAAGAAACUCGACUACCCGGACAAACUGGUAACUUCAUAUGCCUAGUUCAUGACAAUAGUCUUGAUCUCGAGUAGUUUACACGCGUGUGAUGGGAAUUUGAUUGGACUACCUUCAAUUUUUUAGCUAAAAUCUAUCAGUGCCCCCAGUCAAAAUGCCUACCGAAGGGUCACUUUCUUUUUUCCCAACUUAUGGUUUUGUCAACAAAAUAAAUUUCAGGCGUAGAUACAUGUAUGACAAAGGAACAAUUGUCUUGUUUUUAACAUAAAAAUAAACUUCAAGGGCUAAAACUUUGGGAUGAAGAACCAACGCAGAGAAAUAAAUUAAUAGAGCAAAUUGGGAAAAGCUGCUUUACUAUGGAGGCAUGUCAUUUGAGAGUCUCAUCUGGAUAUGAGCUCCAAUCAGAGGUUCUAUAUUACCGUCCAAAACAGAAUACAGGUCAGGCAUUUCAACACCACUUCUUACAUCUUUCACAUGCUUGCGAGGGUAAAGAACAUAUCUUCGGACCUUGUCUCGCCAUACAUCGAACACAUUUUCUUUCUUGAAGCCAUUUAUGCUUGGAACUCCUACAUCUCUGGCUGCGAUAAGAAGUUUAGCCUUCAACCAGUUGAGGGCCUUAAUCUUAUUUGCAAAAAUGCUCCUUUCACCUGGGAUAAAAAUUUUGAGAUCUUAUUUCUCAAUCACAAAAUGUCGUACUAGACAGGCAAUCAUGAACGUGUGUUGAGGAACAGGCAUUUGCUUCUUUGUAAAGUCAAAACCAGAUUGCGGAAACCAUUGGUAAACAAAUUUGAGUUGGAAGGUCAACCCUAACAAAUAAGGGAAUAGACAACUCAUUACCCAAAGAUUGGACGACAAAACCAGUAGGAACAUGCUGAAUAACAACUCCAGACCAGCCUUCAAUGACUUUUACUUCAGGCGAUGACGAUGGGCACAAGAUUAGCAAAUCCUCCUCACUAAUUUUUAGGUCAGGGGCCGAAUCACGGAACAGAUGAAUUAUAUCGACAGCUGCUAGGCUAACCUGCAAAUUUUGAGUACUAAAAUGAGGAACUGACAGGAAUUUAGGGGCCAAUGAUGUAGCAGAACAGAAACACAUUACACAGAAAAGGCUUUUCUCGACCUUCAAUUCACUUGUAUAAGAAGCAGAUAUACUAUAAAAAGAAACAACUUGAAUGGUAGGAUCCCAUGAAAUGCAACAAUUCCCUUGGCUAUGUUUUUGAGUGAACUAAAUCAACCUUAAGCUCAUGUGCAAAAUUAAUCCACACACCAUUUGAAGUUGCAUAUCUUAUAUUUUUUAGCCAAUGUUAGACUCUAUGGUACAUGUAGACAUCUAGGUGCCACACAAAUAUCUAAGUGUGUAAUUAAGAUAAGAUCAAGAAAGAAUUUACCCAAAUAUAUACAAUAAGGUGCCAUGAGUACGAGUUCAUAUUUAGCUGCUUUGAUUUCAAGAAAGAGCCACAGAAACAAUCAAUCUUUCAAUUCCAAUGUGUUUUUCCUUGCACACGGUCAUUUACAUGUUGUCAUGUCUUUAAUACACUUUAAAUUGUUUCUUGAUAUUAAUGAUGCACUAACAAGAUGCCACUUUUGCCUUCUGAAUCUCCGGAAAGAGAAGAAACAAAUCAUUCAGAGCUCAUUGUUAAAAAGAAGUCAAAAACCAAUAGCAAUAUACAAAAGUCAAUGUUUCAUCAAAACAAAAAUGAUAAUUGUAAACCUACCUCAUCAAUUGUUGAUCCAGUUUCUGAACCACUUAUUAUUCGAUGAACACCCCUCUCCCCUUGAAGACAACCAUAUGCAUAAUCAAAUUCAAAUUCAACUGUUGCAGAAGUGAUUCCACCAUUUGUUGCCCGACGCUUCUCUACAAUCCUCCCUCAAUAACCUUGCUUCUCAGCCCAUUUUUGGUACAUUCUCAGUAGUUUUUCAGCCCAUAACUGGAUUAGCAAAUGCAUGAGAGACAGAGAGAUUGGAACCAGCAGAGGCUUAAGCCCAAAAGAUUUUUUUUUUUUUUUGGGUCAACAAAACUGAGUGAACUUCAUUGAAUUAGCUAAUGGAAAAGGAAUAUAUCCCCAUUAUAGAUGAAUAUUACAGUCCGCUAUUUUCCAGGAUUUCAUCUUUCAUAUGCAAAUAGAUUGGCAACUUAUCAUUCCCUGUCCUAGUUCAUACUGAUGUCAAAAUGAAGUAUCCUCAUAACAGAAGUAUCCUCAUAGUGGAGAAUAAUAUCGAACCACUAUCCAUACUGAUCAAAUUCUCACUUUUCUUUUUUCUCAUUAUUCUUUUGAUAGCCACCACAUUAUCACUUAAUGUUUACUUCUGAGUUGGAAUUCAGGGGAGGGACAUGCAAAAUACCUCCCACAGGAAGAAGGAUACUAGACAAUAAAUUAAAUAUCCACUAAACCCUGGAGAAAUCCCACAAUUGAUUUUCAAGACAUCUAAGUCAUCAAGCAAAGAGAUUCGUAAAUAAGAAGUAACUGAAGUGGUGAUGCGCACAAGCAUACAUAUAUACUAACAAGAUUCCACUAAUAAUGUCCCACCCUUAUAUGUACAUAUAUAUGCAGUUUUUUCAUUCUCAAGUUCUUUGAAACUCCUAUAUUUUGGCGUGAGUAUUAUAAAGAAGCAGGAACCAUAGACUCUGCAUCCAUUCUACAUCAAUGUAUAUUACAAUGGAAGAGUGUGAUAUAAACAUCAUCUCUUUGCACAUGCAUAAUUAUUCUAGAAAUGAAGUUAGAUUAUCAAACCUCAUGGUAAUUGCCAUUGGAUUCAGCUUUGAUGACCAUCGACGCUCCAUUCACAUCAUAUGGUCCCUUAAGAAGCUUUAACAUCUCAUAACAGUCCAAAAACUUACUCAUAUCCAAAGACGAAGUGUAUGCCUGCUCAAAAAGAGCAUAAUUAAUAGCAUCCAUCUCCACCAGUUGAGUUAUCAGCUUUGCUUCUUCCGCCUGCAAAUUUCAGCAGAUAAAAGUCAACUAAAGCUAGCAAUUGCACUUCCUUUAAUUGAUACAGUUAAACUAGAUAUGACAGUCAUUGACACAUUAAGAAUCAAGUUAAUCUCGGAAGAAGAGUCAAGACAAGCUUAUAAUGGGCAAACCAUUGACCCAACAAUUGCCCAACUUAAUCCACACCUACUGGGUGGAAAAGCUUAUUCUGUGAGAUGAAUAUGGCAUUCCACACCACCUUGUAAGUUAAAUCCCUCAGGGCAUCGACUGCUCUGGCCAUGUCUGCCAACUUCACAAGAACAUCAUAGGAUUUAGCAGGAUCAUCCCAAAGGUCGUAAUCUCGAAUCAGUCCAUCAAGCUUAAUCCAUUUAGCUUCUUCAAUUUGCAGUGCAGUAGGAGCCAUCUUCUCAGUGCGUUGAACUGCAUCUUCAAUCUUCCUUUUUAGUGAAAACAACCCUGGAGAAAAAGAAAUGCAAAUUUUACAUAAAAGCCGAACUGCAAAGAUUUUUACCCCACCAACAUCCCAGAAACACUUUUGCUUACAUUUCUCAGAAUUCGUGUCAGAUUGUACAAGAAAAUUAAACUUGACUUCAAGUCCUCUUACAGGAGUCACAUUUUGCAAAACUCAUCUAUUUCCAACAUGUUUGACAUAACUUCCUUGCAACGGCAACCAUAGAUAUCAAAUGAACCCCUGGUUCGAAAUUCCGAAGAGCAAACUCCGAAACCAAGCAUAUUUGGAACACCGAGGAACAAGAAAUGAAGAAUCUUUCCACUAGGGUGAUAACUUAAAAAGCAAGAACCACUCACACAUGGGAGUUCACCUAAUGUGAAGCAAGAGGCCUCAUGAGAAAGAUUCAGGCCCAAAAGAUACUUACUGACUUCAAAUUUUACACGAAAGACAUGAUUGUAUGACCAAUAAAAUCCGGAAAAGUUCACUCUUUCUUUUUCAUUUACCACAAACCGGUCUAGAUUUCUUCGCAAGCAGUCUAAAACAACAUGUCAAAGAACUUCUCAAAAAAGCAAGAACCACCUAUCAUCUUGUGCAUUUGCAAAUGAACCGAGCACUCCAUCUUAAUCUGACCAAAAGAACUACCCACAUGAAAGCAUUCAAGAAAGACAACAUAAUGGAAUUAGGCGAGGGAGACGGACUGAGUUCUCUGUAGACCUUGCUUUUGCCGUCGACAGAGCUACAAGCCCGGACCAUACAGCGCAAGACCGUGGACUUGUGCGGCUGUGGAGCCCGCCAUCUUGACCCGAACGAAGCAGAUUCUCAAGACCUUGCUCUUUGUUGAAGGCAAAUUCUCAAGACCUCAUGGUUUUCCAUCAGUAAUAUUCACUUCCCUGCUCAAUAAUCUCCCUUGCAAGCAUCAAAUAGAAAAACUUGAACCCCUGAACCCUAGUCGAAAUGCUUGCCUCAUGGAUGAAAGAAUGCACAGAGAGACACGCUCAGAGAGAGAGAGAGGCAGUACGGUGUUGCUGAGCAAGGAAGAAGAGACGCAGCACGAGGGCAUACCCGAGACCUCACCGAACCGUGAGGGAAGAACCGCCAAAAGCGUGGAGGUCGUGGGAGAGGCGAGCGAAAUCGGCCGUCGAGCGUCGGGGUAGAGUGCAGAGAGGGCAUCGAGCGUCGGAGAAGGGAGAAAAUAUUAGGUUCGCUUCCUGGUUCGUCUGCUGCUCGCGGUGGUUCGCCAAUCGGAAAGGGGGAGGGUGGAGAGAGAGAGGGAGGUCGUCGGACAGGGACAGCACCCGGUCGACGGCGGCACCGCUCGGGAACGAGACCGAGGCCACCUCCCUCCUGCCGAAGGCCGACGACUUCGCGGCGGAGGCUGGCGAUGUCUUCGGCCUGAGGGAGGGGGAGAACGAGUAGAUGCCAGAGACGGAGGAUGCCAUCGGCGGCGGCGACGGCGGCUCGGAGUCGGAGUUGAUGACGAGUUCGCCGGAGGGAGGCAAUCGGACGGAGGCCCAGAAGUUGCCUAGAGACCAAGGCGAGCACAAACCUUACGCUCAAUCUCGGCGUUGGAAACCGUCGGAGGCGAAGGGGGUCGGGAACCAGCUGCGAUUGGCGGGGCUCUUGGAGGAGGCGACGGACCAGCGAGGCUUUUUGGGAGGCGGAGGCGGAGGGGAUGGGAUACGUUGAGAAGGAAACAGAGGAAGUGCAGCUCGUCCGCGUGGAGAGAGAGCCCAGAAAAUAUUCAAGUGAGGAGAGAGAAAUUUUAAGCGGGAGUGUUGCGCAUUUAUUAUCGAUUGACCCGUACUUUCUUCUGCCAACCGAGCCGAGCCGAGCCAUCAGCCGAGAGUUAUUUGGGAGAGAGAGAGAGGAGAGAGAGGAGCGCUACGUCGAGGAGCAAGAGAAAAAGCGAAGAGGACACCAAGUGGGGCCCACCCCUCCACAUGGCACCUCGUGAGUGGCCGGGGACCACGCUGGCGUGGAGGUCCCGGACCACCCAAUAUUUUCUCCCUAACAACUCCAUCGUUGUUAUUGCUCCGACUUAUAUUUCCAAAAAAAUUGAAUUUUAUUUGCAAAAUCCCUUUGUUUAAUCUGAAAAAAAGGUAUUUUUUCCUUCUUCUUUUUUACGGCCAGGAGUGUAAAUAGGUCAUCCCUAAUUAAUGGAUUCAUGGUAAAUUCCCUUCUAGUGGAUUCCAUCCAUAGACGCAAAAGCUUAUCGCAAUAUAUAGAAGCAACGGUUACUUAUUUCUUAGGUAUCUAAUAAUUCUACAAAUAUUAUCUGUUGAGAGUGCAGAUUAUACAUUUAGUCAUCUCCAUACAUUUUAAUUUGUGCUAAACGAUACAUGAGCAAGCCUCACUAGAAGGGGAAGGGACUUAUUUAUAUUUACAGCCUUCAUGUAAAAAUCAAGGGCAAAUUAAAAGUUUUAUCCGAUAAGUGUAGUCAUUUUUCUUUUACCCUUCAUUACAACAUAUUUCGUACAUUAAUAUCCGGAGAAAAAGAAUAUUAGAAAAACUAUGGCGGCUAGAAGUAAAAUCUUCAAAAGGGAAGUGUUGAUCAUUCCUUCUUAACCUCUCAACAUACCUGAGUGUUUUCAUCUAUGCAGUAGUCUCCUAAUGAAGAGCUCUAUCAGACUGUAUUUCUUAUUUUACAUGUCAGUGUUCACACAUAUCACACCCUUUGUUAGUAGGUGAAUAUUUUUCAUUCUCACCAAUCAAAGAAUAUGGGAGGUGACAUGAUGGGGUUUUUCACCAUAGGACGGAUCUUCUAUUUGUUUCUUCUCCCUUGAACAUUCUAAGGUCCUGCUCAGGUCCAUUCUUCCAAUAAUCAAAGUUAUUUUUCUUUUACCCUACAUUAUAACACAUUUCGUGCAUUUGUAUCCGGAGGAAAAUCAACGCUGAGUGGGCAUAUUUUGGGAGAAUGCUUAUGGAAAGAUGCAAAGCACCUACAGGUUUUCAACGUGUAGAGUGCUUUAAAAAGAAGUAAAACGUUACAUUUUUUUUAAACUACAGUAAACCGUUACAUUAGUUGGCUCAUUAUAUCACCGACGAGAUAAUAGAAUUAAUUAAUGCUGUUAUCACAUGUAAACAAAAUAUUUGUCGUUCUCCAAAAAUUUAAUGGCCACAGUACAUAGUCUCAAUAUAUUCAUCCGUUCUCUGAUACAGCAUGUUAUAACAUGCCGAAUUCAAUGGUGGCUACACAUAUGAACUCUAGGAACCAUGAACGAAAUUACGUAACUAAGGGUUGACUAAUAAGAAUACCAAAUUCAAAUUCUUGCUUGUCAGAGUGGACACAAAACAAGAGGGAUGACAGCGUGAAAAUCAAUUACUUUGGCUGUAUUUAAUUCAACAUUUGAGAAAAGCUUUUGAGUAGAUGCUAGCGUAAAUUUUUUUCAUGAAGAACGAAAAACUGUUCAAUUUUCUUCUGGCUCUUAUGCAUAACUAUUUCCAUCCUUUUGAUGAGAAUUAGUUUUUGACCUUGUCUCUACAACUAGGAGCAUCACGUUAUCGUCAAUUUAUGAUAAUCAAGCGACAAAUAUUAUUGACUUCUCUUUCCUUUCUUUUUUUGGCAUGCCAUUGCGAAAAUAGGUCAAAUAAAAGAAACGAAAAAGAGAGAUUCUCUCUCCUCAUAGACUUAACACUAGCCUCUCGUUUUCUCACUCCCCAAAAAUGCAAGGGGAGAAUAAAGGGAAUUGCGGCUCGGUAACCUGAUUCAUACCUUCUAAAUGGCACUUUGAUUCCCUUUUGAUUUCGUGUUCUUCGCUGUAAUUUCAAUUAAUCGAUGCAUUUUUCCUUUAAUUUCUUUUAAUCUCCAAUCGCUACACUUUACUACUCAAGCAGUUUAUCUUUCUUAUCAUUUUGGUCGAUUUAGCACCAUCCAUUUCACGCCCUGCUCUCCAACCUCACACGCCUUACACGUAUGUGCACCAUUCGAUCCAUCUUUGAAACCCUUAUUUGUGUGAUGUUCGAUCACUUCAUGGUUGAGCUAGAACCAGAGAACAAAUUUUAUGAUUUUAAAUUUUUUUUAAUCGCUCAAUCGUCAGACUUAGUUAGGUCAAUUUAGCACCGACGAAUAUGUAAAUGAUUAUGCUAUCAUGUAUAAUAAAAUUAUCAACAAUAAAAAUUUAAGGUUUAUUAAAAAUGUAAUUUCAUCAUUAUAUACAAAAUUCCAUCUUUAAUCAUAAAUAGCAGUAAUUGAGAUUAUUAAUAAUUAUUUCAGUUAUUCUAUUGUGAAGAAAACGUAUUUGAACAUGAAAUUUGUGAUAAUUGUAUAUUACAUUCAUUUAAGUUAUUAAAAGAAUUUCAACUAUUGUACUGUGAACAAUAUGAUAAUUAGUUUCAUACAAAGCGUAUAAUAAUAAUAAUAAUAAUAAUAAUAAUAAUAAUAAUAAUAAUAAUAAUAAUAAUAAUAAUAAUAAUAAUAAUAAUAAUAAUAAUAAUAAUAAUAAUAAUAAUAAUUAUUAUUAUUAUUAUUAUUAUUAUUAUUAUUAUUAUUAUUAUUAUUAUUAUUCAAAUAUUAUGGUUAAGAAUAAUACCAUAAUUGUUAGUGAUAUUAUGGAUGUUAGCAAUAUUAAAAUAUCUUUUAGACACAUUUGAGAUAUUUUCUUUGAUUUUUUAUAUUUAUUCUGAUUAUGCAUAUCUGAUUUGAUUUUCUUUAAUUUCCUCUAUCAAAGCUCGACUCUGAAAAUGAUAGAAAAAUUAGGAAAUUAAGUCGAAAACCAAAUAAAAGUCACUAAAUACUCAAAUUAGAAACAAUAAUCUAAUUCUAGGUGGUUAUUUAAUAGGAGAAACAUUAAUGAGUCAUGCUAAUUUCGGUUGACAAUUUUUAAAAAGAGCUAGUAAAUGUGAGGGAUUGCUAACCGAGACAAAUAAAAAUUAGUAACCUAGUAGAAAAGUUGGUAAAUCAGGAAAAAAAAAAACUAUUAAACAUUGGUAAGUAGGACAAAGGAGAGUUGACAAUCAAAAGUAAUUAGUAAUUUCGGUUGAUAAUUUUAUACUGGUAAAUUUCACUAAAAAUAUUGGAAAGUUACCAACGCAUUACCUGUAAAUAAGUCACCCGUAGUUUUUUCACAAAUGGUUUUUUGACACCUACCGAAACAUACCAGCAUAUAAAAAAUGCGUAUUUUUUUUUUUAUUGCACAGAGCCACAGAAUACUGCUGCUUUAGCUUUACACUUUUCCAUUGAAGACAAUAUAUUACAUUGUUUCCUCCCAAGCUAUAUAAAAGAAUGGAGCCGACUAUAUCUCCUAGAUAAAAACCUAACUAUUUCUAAACCUAAAAAUGACAAACUAUGUAUCAUUGUCCACACAUUCGAACUCGUUUUGUCAAUUGAAUGAUGAUUUCCAAACCUAAUUUAUGUACACAAACAUAGUCAUCCACGAUCCUCUACUUCGAUUCAACUCCACCAAACUAAUUUCAAAACCUAAACCCUAAGCCCAUUAUUUCCUCAGGAUAAGUACACUAAUGGUGCCAUAAGUUGUGUACGGCGCUCACUUUGGUGUCAAAACUUUCCACCGGAUCACUUAAGUGCCAAAAAUUUUGCAAAACGCUCACUUUGGUGCCAACUCCGAUCUGGUUGGCUGGAAAUCCGAUGUGGCAUUUUUUUUAUUUAUUAAUAUUUGAAGCCGACGUGGAUCGCCAGAGAAUACAAUCAGCAUGCAAACAACAAAAUGACGCCAUUUAGCGUCUUUUCCCCCAAAUAAAAAACCCUAAAUCCCCAAAUUCGAGUAGAAUCGGAAAUUGAAAACCCUAAAUCUCAAAUUCGACCAAUUGGAGUACAUACUUCGAUUUUCUCUCAAAGUUAUCAGCUCGUUCUUGCGAAUGGAGAGCGGAAGCUUUAGCAGCGGCUCACAUUCCUAUAAAAAAAAGCGAAUUAGAUGUUGAGUGUUACUGAUAUUGUGGGUUACCAAGUCCGAAAAGAACAUCUUGGACUCGGUUGAAUCCCGGGAGAAGAUUCCAUGGGUGCGGCAAAUAUAGAGAAGGCUCGAAGUGCAAAUAUUUCAAAUGGGUUGAUAGGAAAUUCUCUGAUCGAGCGACAAAGGUGAUCAUGGAGUUACUUGAAGGCCGAAAUCAACAUCCACCUGCGUUAAUGGACGAGUUGGAGAAUGUCGACUCAAUACAAGCUCAAAUGAAGGGUUUAACAUCUCUGGUCGACCAUUUGAAGAGGGAGGAUUCAAGGCUGAAAAUUGAAAGAAACUUUUAUCGAGCGUUGAUUAUGUUCUUAUUCUUGUGUAGUUUAUUCAAAUGUGAAGUUAAGUAAUAAGAAGAAGUUUGUGUGUCUACCAUAGUCGAAGUUUGUAUGUCUACCAUUUUUGUAUGAAGCAGAAGGUUUUGUUGUAAUCCAUGGUAGAAUGCAAGGUUGGAGUUGAAAUGCAUUAAUUGUGAACACUUCAGAAAUGCAAUGUUUGCUUGCUGCAUUUUUUAUUUGCCCUCCUGAUUUGCUGGUUUGUUGGUUUGCUGCAACUGCAAACCAUGGCGAAAUGGAAGGUUGGAGUUGGAAUGCAUUAGUUCUGAGCACUUUUUAUUGUUUAGUUGUGUAUUGACAAUGUUUGUUUUGAUUAGUUUUUGCUUCAAAUAGAAUGGUUGCUGCAUUUUUAUCGUUGUAAUGGUUUGCUGGUUUGCUGCAACUGCAAACCAUGGCAAAAUUAAGGGAUGGUGACAAAUUAACAAUUGACCAUUUCAGUGCCAAAAGUUGUAAAUAGUGAUCGCUUGAGUGUAAGUUUUUAUAAAAGUGAUCAUUUAAGUGCCAGUCGCGAUUACAAAGUGAUCACUUCUAUUGCACAAGUUGUAAAUAGCGAUCGCUUGAAUGCCAAUUUCAAACUUGCACCAGUCGUGGUGCAUCCUGCAUCUUGUUCUUGCACCAGUUAGCUUGCUGGUGCAUCUUUUUGCAACACAACAGCCCUACAACGAGAUGUAUCAGCACCCAAAACUGCAUCUUAUUCUAGCAUAUACAACCGGAACCCCACAAAUAGCAUCAACGUAUCAACUGUAUCCUAUUCCAGCACAUACAACCGGAACCCCACAGAUAGCAUCAACGCAUCAACGACUUCAACUAGAAACACUAUAUGCACAUAUUUAAAUCUAAAAAUAAUAGCAUCCUCAUAAGAAUAUUGCACCAAUAGCAAAAUAUACAGAAACAUCUAUUGUCAUUGAUAUUGAUUGAUUGUUUACAAAAGAAAAAAAUAACAUGAACUUCACUCUCCAAUCAUUGAAGGUUCAUCACCCUCUUAAAAAAAAACUAAUGGCAAUAUGGAGGCAGCAACUACCAUCAGUGAUAUAAUAUCCAACACCCUCCUAAAAAAAAAAACAUAAAAAGAUGCGACCAUGUCCAGCACUACAUAAAAAUAAACAUAAACUAUGUCCAACACCCUCCCAUCAGCAGCACCACAUAAAAAGAGACCAAGUCCGACACCCUUUCAUCAGUCAAUAUGGACAACAUCCUGAUCUCCUUUUCGUCUUGGGGCUUUGAAUUGAUUCAUAAUCCGAGCACUCUUUCAAACUAGAUGUGCAGGUUCUUUAACUGGGCGUUCUAUCACCUCAUUUUCCUUGUUUUUUACGGUGGCUAUUCUUGUUCUAGCACGUGUCAUGUGUUGAUCCAUAUCAUCACUAUCGUGCCCAAUCAUUGGUUGAGAUGGAACUGGUGAUGAGUUAUGUUUGGAUGGCUGUUUUGCAGCUAUUCCCACUAUCUUCUUCUUUGGAGCACUUUUCUUUGGUUGUGCCCUUGAUUCUUGAGUUGGCCUACCUUGAAAGAGAAGUACAUUCGAAGUUCUCCCAGGCUAUAAGAAUAUAGUGAUAUUGUCAACCAAAUAAAUUGAAGUACAAUAAAUUGAAUGCAUAAAGCCUACAAAUCUUACAUUCAAAAUAGUCAUUCCAAUUCGUUCAUCUGUGUGAAUCUCAUAACCAUAUUAUCUUAAUCUUUUUCCAAUAGCCCCUCUUGUUCGCUGUGGUGCAUCAUUUUCAGCAACAACAGAUGAGGGAGCAGCCUCUGCAACUUGUGCAAUUGCUCGUCUUCUCACCUGAAAAACACAUAACAAAUUAAAAUUCAGCUCAUAAAAGACAAACACGGCGAUGUACAACUUACAUGAACUUUUUUUCUUCUCGUUUGCUCAACGGUGGACUCAGUUGUUGUUGAUGUCCUACCUAUUUCAGUCUCUGUCCCUAUACUUGAGCCUACAACAUGGCAUUUUUCUGGCCCUUUAGAAAGCCUUACAACAAUGUACUAUAUCAAGAUCAUGACCAACUAUAAUAAAUAAUGAGACAUCUACUCAUUUUCAUGGUGGAAACAAAUGGAGAGAACUUAUCAAAUUACAAGUGCAUGAUAGAGGAAAAGUACAAGAGAAGCCAGUACACAUUGUCAACCAUCAAACUCUAUCGAAUAGGAAAUGUGAAGUUACUAAGGUAAAGAUGAUACUUAUCUUACAGUAGGGCUUUCUGUUUGCCCUUCGGUAGGCACUACUGCAGGGCCUUCUAUCCUACCUUCACUAGGCCCAACAAGAAGCUCUUCAAUAGGGCAUUCUAUCCUACUUUCAACCAUUACAUCUUGCUAUUGAUGCUGCCUUUUCAGCUCACAACAUUUUUUAUUGUGUCCUUCCUUGCGGCAAUAUAAGCAUUUCAUCUUUGAGCCAGUCCUACUCAUCUUCUGACUUGAUGUCUCUUCCUGCUGCAUUUUUUUUUUUUUUGCCUUCCAAUUUCCUUUUUCAGCGGCAAAGGUGGAGGGCUUUCAUGAUUUGUUGGCUUCCAAAAUUUGCUACUUCUGAUAGGCUGCAUCAUGAAUUUGUAUGAAACAUGGUAUGAGCUUUUUUUGUACUAAUUAUAUAGGUAAUUAUCUGGGUUUUCUUGCUUAAUCUGAAUAACAUAAAUUGCAUGGGCACAGGAAAUUCCAUUCAGUUGCCAGACUUGGCAUGAACACUUUAUUCUAUCCAGGUUAACAACAUACUUAUCCUGAUUUUGAAUAAUCUCAUAUUUAUUAUCUCCAUUCCAAAAUGGAUGGAAGAACCUACUAACAGCAAUGUUUGCAUCCAAUCUCUUCAUAAUCCUAAGGCCACAGUCUCUAGUCCAUUUCGUAGCCUCAUCUCUUUGCCUAUGCAGUCUAGUCAUCACCAUCACUCAAAUAUUAUCAAGCAUGCUGAUGAUUGGUUUGCACCUGGUCUCUAAAAUUCUGCCAUUGAAAGCUUCACUGAGGUUGUUAUCAAUGAUAUUGCAUUUAAACUCUUUGCUAAAAAAGGCCUGACACUAGUGCUUAGCUUCUGUCUGGAAGAGUGUAUUAAAACCUUCCUUUGUCAGCUGCAACAAUCCUUGUUUGGCUAAUUUGAAAUCAGCCAUGUUGGUACUCUUUGCUAUCUGCUAGAACUGCUUCUGGAGCUUAUCUCCUUUGAAGUUCCUUGACUAGUUUGCAUAUAUAUGCCUCGCGCACAUUCUAUGUUCAGCAUGUGGCAUCAACUCAGCCAAUGCAGGAAUAAGUCCCUACAAAAAUUCAAACCAAUAAAUACAAGUCAGGAAAAAUAUGCAAAUGAUUAAUAUUAAAAUGGAGUGAAUUAAUUGAUAAUGAAAUUACAUUCUAUUGGUCGCUCAUGAAUGCCCAUCCUCCCCCAUCGGUUAUCUCAAGGUCAGCCAUUAAAUUUUUCAGAAACCAGGACCAAAUAUCCUUGUUCUCUAUCUUCACCACCGCCUAAGCUAUCGAAAACAUGUGAUUAUUGGCAUCUCUCCCAACAGCAACCAACAACUCCCCCUUACACAAACCCUUUAGAAAACAUCCAUCCAAUCUAUCAAAUAUGCUAGAACUGCUUCUACAACCAGCCAAGAAACCUUGUUUGCAUGCAUCAAAACAUACAUAAAAUCUAUUAAAUCUAGGCCUAAGAUCAGGGAGUGGCCUCUCCACAACCUCUACAUACACCCUACAGCCAAGAAACAUGCAUUCGCCAGCAUAGUCCCAUACCUGCGCAUAUUCUUCCUUAUACCCCACCCAUCAGUAUUUUCAUCACCCUCAUCUUAGCUCUCUUGCAUUGAUUUCUCGACACAUUAACCCCUACUUGCUCUUUCACUAACUGUUAAAAUUAAGGACUCUUGAUCACGGGCAUUGCUUCGAUAGUGUUGAAAAAAAUGUUUCGAUAACCACACACUCGUUAUCCUUUUAUUGUUAAAAAUAAUUGGACAAGUAUGUUACUCCUGCAAAGAUCUAAUCUAGAAUGACCCAUUCUUAUUUAGUGCACCAUAGAGCUUUCAUGGACAAUUGGGUUGUGAGCACUUAGCUCUCACAAAUUCCUUCGUGUUUCUAAUAAAUUUAACACUCCUCUGUUCACCAAUGGAGUUCUUCACAACAGCUUCCUUGAACUGUUUGGCAUCGUCAUGCCUACAGACAAAAUAUGUUUAUUAACAGUCGGAUCAUAGUAAGGGUACUUACUUUUUAUUUGACGAGCAAGUUCUUCAUCAUCAUUGUCAAGCUCAUUCUCCGAACCAGCAACUUCAUCGCCGUAGCUUUCUUCAUCUUCACUUCUAUUACCUUCUGCUGGAAUUCCAUCCCCAUUUACUGGCUCGGGCCUCUUUGCUGAAGGUGCAAGUUUUUUUCUCAAAAAUUCCCUUUGCUUUUGUCGUGAUUGUGCGAGUUCAUCAUCAUCUUCAUCACUUGGGAAAUUUAUUGAAGCAAAAUAUUCAUCUUUUGAUUCACUAGAUAAAGCAAUUUCUCAUUCUAAUCCAAUGAAGUCCUCAUUGCCCAAAUCUUUACCCAAGCUUUCAGAACAUGUCACUGUUUGUUCAUCUUUAUCAAUGUGAGUUCUCUCCCUUUCAUCCCUGACCUGCUUACUUGCUUGAAUAGGAUUCCUCACUUCUUCUCUUUCAGUAGUGGUCUGCUCAUCCCCAUCCUCAUCCUCAUCCUCACCAUCCUCAUCAUCAUCCUCAUCCUCACUAUCACUAUAAUAUUCAACAUAUACCUUAGCUUCUUCGCCGUAAAGAUAAUAGUAAAUGAUAUUCUUAAUACCAUUAUGGUCAUUAAAAAAUCUCAACCCAUCAUUCAAUUCCUUCCCAGGAACACAGUAAUAUAGUUUUUGCAUUUUGCAUCGUAAAAAAUAUACCAAAUCCUUCAAAAAAUUAAUAAAUGACGGCUUCCGAAUAUUGACAUAAAUAGUACAUUCAUUUCCACUAGUAUAUUCCGAAUCAUCGGUGCUAAUAAGAAACUCUCCACCAUAGCAAACAAUGAUGCUUACCUGAUUCACGUCCAUGUCGAUACUGCACCCAAUGAAAAAAAAAAAAAACAAAUGUCAUUACUUGUUGGGACCACAUGACAGAAUUAACAACUUCACAUGGAGGUCUUUAUCAUUUUGUUGUCAAGAAACAAAUGCAACUAAUCUUCCCAAUUCAGUGCUUUUACAAAAACAAAAGAAACUGAAUUGAAUAAACAAAGUGAGGUCCCACCACCCAUUUUUCAAUUCAAUCACAUUCGGUCCCCCUGUUUCCCCCACAAAAGCAGUCCAAUUAAUUAAAUAAAUUCGGUCCCACCAUUGUUUCCCCCCCAAGUCGAGCCCCAUUUUCCCCUCCGCGCCCUAUUUUUCUAAUCAGUCCCACAAAAGAAAGGGAACGAAUGACAAAACCCUCAAAUUUUCUAUUUAGUCCCCACGACUUUCCCCAUGACUUUUCCCCUGAGCCGAGCCCUCAAUUUUCCCUCCAUGCCCUAACUUGCCCAUCGGAACCCUAAAUUUUUCAGUAGAUUGAUCCACGUAUAGAACAUGACAAACCUAAGUGAGUGAGAGUUGAGGACGUAGCCAGUGAACGACGGCGCAACUACAGCAGUGGCCGAGCGACAGCGGGCAAGUGAACGACGGUGGGUCAUCGAGCUACAGUUGGCGGCGUCGAGCGAGAACCCUAUACGAACACCGUUUUUGGCCCACGUCGUUUUUUACUAUAUUGAAUCCACUAUACGACGACCAUUUUGUAGGUAAUCCACAUGGAAUGGUAAAACGACGUCGUUUCUUACGAAGAAAAGGAAACAACGUCGUUUUAUGCCAUCCAUCGUGGACAAUAUUAAGAGCUGUCGAUUUUUUUUUUUUUAAAUAUAAAUGCCACGUAAUCAUUUUGGCCGGAAUUUCUCACCGGUGACACCAAAGUGAUCGUUUUUUCUCCGAUUUGGCACUUAAGUGAUCCGACGGAAACUUUUGGCACUAAAGUGAGCGUUGUACUCAACUUAUGGCACCAUUAGUGUACUUAUCCCUUAUUUCCUCUAAAGCAUGAUACCUUAAGAUGCGAAAUGUUUCGUGAUGGAUUUAUGGGAAAAGAUAAUAUAUAAAAAUUUCCAGAAAGCAAACCAUUGGCUUGAUGGAUUGUUGGUGAACUUCUUUUUUAGAAUUUUUUAAUAUUUUUAAUAUAAGAACGCGCUUGAUAACUACAAAAAAUUUCUAUUCCGGGAAUAGAAAUGUAUUUGGUAAACUUGUAUAAUUUUGUUGUUUUUUAAAAUUUUUCAAUGUUUUUAUUAUUUUUUUCUUUUUUCUUCUUUUUUCCUUCUUCCUCCUUUGUGGCUGGUCGCCGGCCACGACGGCGAUUGGCGAUCGACUGGGCGAGGUCCGGCAAGCUCACUAGAGCCUCGCUAGAUCUAGGUGAGGUCGAGCCUCGCCAGUGGCCUCGGUGGCCAGGCGAGCCUCACCAAGCCACCGGCAAGGCUCGAGCUCGCCCAAGCGGCGCGAGCUCAGCCUUGCCUUGGUUGGGCGAGCUCGAGCUUGCCCAGCCACUGGCGAGGCUUGGCGUCGCUGGCCAUGGCCGAGGCCGGCAAUCGGCUAAAAGGAAGAAUAAUGAAAGAAAAUAGAGGAAGAAAAAAGAAGAGAGAGAAAAAUUAUUUCUCAAAAUUGUUCUCAAGAAGAAGAAGCUACUUUUUUCUACUUCUUAUUUUUAUUCCAAAUCUGUUCCCGGGAAUAAAAAAAUUUUCAAACAUGUUUCUGUUCUUUUUUUAUUCCUUGGUACAAAAGAAUAGGAAUUUUUGUUUUGGGGAACAUAAACUCUUUUUAACAAACAGGCCCUUAGUCACCAAGUAUGGAAAAUUGUAAAAAAAGUUCUAAACCUAUUAAAUUUUGACCAAUUCAAUUCUAAAUUUUUCAAUUUUGUCAAUUAAGUCCCAAACAUUUUCACAUUUGUCAAUUGAAUUCAUCCAGCCAAUUUUGCUCGGCAUUUGAUAAUGUGAGCGAUAGCUGUCUUGUAUGGUAAGGUCAGCACUAAUGUUGAUAAUUUUUAAUAUUAUCAUAAAAAAAAUAUUUUUGAAAGAAAAGAAAAACAACAUAUUACACAAGAAAUUCAGGGGAGAGAUCCACCCAUCUAUUGCAAAAAGAAUAUUUUUAACAUUAUUAUACAAAUAUUUUUUUGGAAACAAAUAUUUUUUUGGUUUCCAAAAAAAUAAUAAAAUCACUCUUGAAGUUACGUGGAGCGAUUGCACCCAAUUUGAUAUGGCUUAUUCAUGUCAUUUGGCUAGGUUUACUUCAUAUGUUUCUAAUUCUUGUCUCAAAAAUUUCUUCCAGAAAUUCAUUUUCCAGGAAAAUGUAAUUAUUUUCUAGUAUUCGGAUGAAACCUAAAAAUGAAGUGGAAAAUAUUUUUCGCUAUUUGGUAAGGAAAAUCUUUGUUUUCCAUCUCCUUCUUUCUUGGCCAGUCGCCGUCCAUGGUGAUGGCCAAUGACCGGCCACUAGUGAGCCUCGAGCUUGCAGAUGAGCACAAGGCUUGCCGCUCUCCAGAUUAGCGAGCGCAAGUGUCGAGCUCGAGGCUCACUAAAUCAACAAGCGUGAGCUCGAGAUCAAUGAGCUCGAGGUUUGCCGACGAUCGAUGACUAGCCAAAAAAAAAUAAGAUGGGAAACAAAGAAAAGAAAAAGAAAAAAACAGAAAAUUAAAAAUAAUUUGAAUUACAAUAGAAAAAGAAAUUAAAAAAAUAAUUCGAAUAAAAAAAGAAAAGAAGAAGAAGAAAGGGGAGGAAGUGAGGAUUUGUAGAAGUGUGAGAUAAGGGAGACUAAGUGAGGAAAAUGUUUUUCACUUUUCAAAAAUGAAAAACAUUUUCCCAAAAUUUAGAAAACUUUUUUCCUUUUAUGGAAAAUAUUUUCCCUAAGGAAUUCAUUUUCCAUGAAAUGAACGCCAGAAAAUCUGGAAAACGUUUUCCCGAAAUUUAUUUUCCGCGAAACGAACAGAAUGAAUCUCUAUUCUUUGUUCGAUUUACUUUCUUUACAAUUUUUUUUUUAGAAAAGUCUAGAUGUGACCUAUUUUGUCACUCGGUGAUUAGAAACCAACAAUAACCCAAUAUUUUGAUUUGACUCGGUAAUCACUCUGUUCUUCAAAACAAUUUCUGCUUAGAAAUAUAUUUUUUUUUAUUCUAUUCUCUGAACAAGUUUCUGAACAUUCGAAGAUGUUUGGUGAAUGCAUAAAAUUUUUAUUCUCAAAAUUGAUUAGCUAAUGUUACUAAACUGAUUUUUUGUUUUGGUGAACAAAAAAACAAAAAAAGUUAAAUCCUAAAAGUAUAUCGAUUUUUUCCCCUAUAACUGAAUACUUUUAUUAGUAUAUAUUGCAUAUUUGAUUACAUCCAUAAAUCGAUUUUCUUCCCUAUGAGUUUUAGUAAUUGUACGUGAAUCCUAACAAUUAUAUAGGUUUGAAUUUGGCAUAAACAUAGAAGAGUUGGUGUGCCUAACCGCUUAGACAUCAAGUCGAUGCAUUUAAGUUAUCGUGUUAACGAAUCAAAUGUUUUAAUAUGAAAUAAUCAAAUAUGUUUUAACACAUUAAAUUUCAUAUUCAAAGGCUUUUUUUAUCCUUAAACCUCAUAACCAUAUGUCAAAAAGAAUAAAUAGUAAAAUAUAAUGAUAAGUGCACUAAAAAUCUAAAAACUUGUUAAAAAAGUAUAUUUGAGUCUUAAAACUUGUUAGAUUUGUGCAAUCAAGUUCUUCCAUGAAUAUCGUCAAUUUGUCUAAUAGAAAAUGUUGAUGUGGUAUUUUUCAAUUAAUUUUUCUCUCCCACGUGGCAUAUUGAAGAAGUUUUAAUGCACUUAUUAGAUAUGUCACGUGCAAAUUAGACAUAUUCAUGUCAGUUGUGUGUGUCGUAUGACUCGCUUUAUUAAGCGGGUUCUAACCGUGGAAGUUUUAACGCGUUUAUUAAAUAUGUCAUGAUUGGGUUCGGCAUAUUCGCGUCAUACCCCCAUUUCGACUUUAACAUUGAAGUAACUUCAGGCUUCUGGCACGCUAGUGCGGCAUCGUCGCGGCAUCGUCGCCCUUUCCAUCCUUGCUUCUAUAGCAAGAGUGUUCAACUUUUUCUUUUCUUUUUUUAUAGAUAAGAAAUAUGACUCUUGAAAAAAUAUAUUUGAGGUGUCUCCUGCCGCACCGAGGGGUCCCUGCCUAAUCAAUUAACAAGGAAACUUCUAAGUAUUCUAUGGAAAGAAAAGGCUUCGGAUCUUAAAUGUUGUCGCACGUAUUUUCGCAUUCACGACCUUUGUAAUCGUGUUGAUUGCACCAUCAAAAAGUAAAGUCAAUACAAAGCUCCCUUUUGGGCUCCUUUUGUUUCUUUCGAGGAUGUUUUCCAAGUUUACGCUCCCUAUCAACGGGAAAGAGUAGCCGGAAUUCCUAUAGAGACACGACUCGCGUGGAAUGAUCUUGAAAAUUCAAACUAGUUUAAGGCUCGUUACCUCUGAAAUCUAGCUGAUCUCACAUGCCGGGAUGUCUAUCAAGCUUAUUUAAAUGAAGCUCGAAGCCCACCCCUGCUUCAUUCGAUAUGAAAAUGCUAUUCCUAAACAUAAAUGUCUCGUACAUAAAUUGUGAUCUUGAUCCUUAUCAAUUUUACUGCGUUACAAAAAAAUUUAUGCUAUGAUAAUUUCCUCGAGAGUACGAUAGUUGAAUUAGAGGACUUAACAUAGAUAUAGGUGGAAAGAAGGAAUGCACCGCUCAGUUUUAUCGGCUCGGAGAACUCUUAUGCGGUUACUUGGAUUUGAAUGAUAUGAGGACGCUUUGACCCCUGUUCAAAGCUUUAACGCUUUUGAAUAAUAGCAUAUCUUCGAUACCUAUCUAAGUUAAUUUCAUGAAAGAUUUAUAAACAUUCGUCAGGAUGGUCAGCAUAACUUGCGAGAGAGAACGGAAAAAAUACAUACUAACUGUUAGCAAGGUCCUACCAACAAACUCAAGCUUAUAAUUAGAACGAGACUGCGUAAAUAUGAAAUAGCUAUAGUAACUUUCUAGUGAAGAUAGAAUAGAAUGUUACCGGACGAUGACAUGAUGCAGUGAUUCAAUUCGAUUUAAGUUAAUUUAAUUAUCAUCUUUAUAAAUCUACAGUUGUUUAAUGGGUAUACCCUGGAAAAUUCCAAAUUGAUAUAUAUGUAAUAAAUUUAUCACAAACUAAUUUUUUGACCAUAAAAAACCCCAAACUAAGACAUCUUAGACAGAUUUACCCCAAAUUGAUACAAAUGAGACAAAUUUAUCUUUUGUUGGUGUCCGUUAAAUUUUAAUAUCAAAUUGCUAAGUUUAAUAACACGUAAUAUUUGACUAGUAAACUAGUUUUGGAUUUGAUUCUUUUUUAUGUCACAAUUAUAUAAUUUUUGUGAGUUUUUGUGGAAUUAAUCCAAUUUAAUUGAUGAUAUAUUUGUUAUAAAUGUACUAUUUUGGGGGUUUUUGGUAAAUUUAUCAUAAGUAUACCAAUUUUGAGUUUUUUUUUUUAAUAUUUAUCACAAGUGUAUCAAUUUGAGAUUUUUCAUGAUUAAAAAAAUAAUUUAAGAUAAAUUUAUCAUACGUGUAUCAGUUUAGAUUUUUCAAGGUAUUAAUACAUAUUUAAUUGGACGUGGCACGCGCUUGUCGGUGUAAAGCAGCCACACCCAUUUUAUAGCGAGAUUCUCCCAUGUUUAAUUUGACGUGGGAUGCACAGGUAGGUGUAAAAGAGCCGCACCCAUUUCAUGGCGAGAUUCUUCCGGGCGGUCCAAUUGAAGAUAUUCAAAUUGAACAAGGGACGAAGGCUUUUUAGGAUUGGAAUCCGUUGCCCACGCGCAUGUCGGCAGGGCGAGAUGGAAAUAAGAUACCUCGCGUGCACAUUCAUAAGUUCCGGUUGCGUGUGGGCAACGGACGGCGGGAGAUGGCUUUAGAAUCGGAAUCCGAAAAUUUCCAAUCACCAGCAGAAAAUAGGAGGUUGGAAAUAGAGCAGCACCUCCGGAGUCCGUGCUCCUGCUUUAGACAAAAAGAGAAAAUAGUUAACAUCAUAAAAAUCAUAAAAUUGAUAAAAAAAAAGAUUUUAAAUUAAUAUAUCUAUAAUAAAUUUAUCAUCCGUUAGUUUACAUUAAACUUUACUAUAAUUCGAUAACACAUAACAAUUGACAGGCAUAUCGUGAUUUUUUAUGAUAAAAUUAACAUAGGGUAUAUUUAUUAUAAAUAUAUUAAUUUUGGAUUUUUUAAUAGAUAAAAAAUUAAUUUAUGUUAAAUUUUUCAUGGAUGUAUUAAUUUAUAAUUUUUUGUAAUAAAAAAAUUGUCGCAAAUAUGAGAAAUAAAUAAAUAUACAAAAAAGUUAAAAUGAACAGAGGAUGCGGACAGUGCAAUUGAUAUGAGUUCUCUUCCUCGUCACAAAGGUCGAGGGUUUGAAUCUUUUUGUUGCUAAGGUGUCUGAAGCAAGGGGUCCUGAUAUUGGAAUCCUAGGCUAGCCUCUCUCGAGGUUUACGUCUCGGUCAAAAAUAAAAAAAACUACGUGCUAUUGAAUUGACCUUUGCUCCAUAAAAUUAACUUAAAAAAUGGCGCCGUCAUUGUCAUAUACGGCAAGGCAUACGGGGCACUCCAACGACUCCAUGACUUUAUAUAAUAGAGUUGGAAAUAAGAAUGCGGAAGAAAUAUUGAGAAAUUUUAGUCUAUUUUGAUAUAUUAAAAGACUUUUAUCUGUGUGUCUAUAUAUAUAUAUAUAUAAACAAUGCCUUAAAUUUACCAACUUUUCAAAGAAAUUAUCAGCCUUGAUUUAAGUGAAUUACUAUGUUUUAUCUGAUUAUCUUACCAACUAAUCUGGGUUAGCAAAUUAUCACUUAAGCUGGUUAUCAAAUCUAUUUUUCUUUAGUUACUAAGUUUUCUUAUCGUUGUCAAAUUUGAUUUAUCUUUUCUAAUUGCACUUGAAAUUUAUCAACUCUUAUAUAAAAAAAAAAUUAAUUUAAAUGAUUUAUCAACUUGUCAAUGAUUAGUUAUUAAUUAAUAUUGAAUUACCAACUUUCAUUUGAUUUUUUAAUUACUUCUUUAUUCUAUUUUCCAAUGAGUUUUUGUUUAAUUGGUAAGCAAUUCAAAUGAAACUUAGUAAAUAAAAACUAGUUCGUGACCUAGUGGGAGAGAAAAUGGUAACUCAAACAAAAAAGAGGUUGAAAAAUUCGGGAGAAUUACCAAAAAAAAGUCAUAAACCUAUUACAAUUGUACCAAGUCAAUCAUGAACUUAUAUUCUUAGUCAAUUGAGUUUUAAAAUUUUUACAAUUGUGCCAAUUUAGUCCAUUCUGCCUAAUUUGGCUAGUCAGCAUUGACGUGAAUGUUUGCCGAUGCUAACGUGGACAAUUUUGUCAAUAAUAUUUUAUUUUUUUGAAUUCUUCUUAUUAAUUCUUUGUUUUUCUUUCUCUCUCUUUUUCCUCCUUCCUUCUUCUUCCUCUGGCCAGUCACCGAACUGAGGCAACCUCAUCAGCCAGUGGUGAGGCUCACCUCGUUGUGACUGGGCAAGAGCAAGCUCGCCUAGCCAAUGGUAAGCAAUUCCUUGUUGGAUUUGGCGACGGCAAUUCAAGCCUCGCUACUAGCCGACGAGGUCGCCUCAAUUCGACAACUGGCCCUCGCCUCUAGCCAAUUGCCUCUGUUCAGCGAAUGGCUAGAGGAAAAAGAAGGAAAGAGGAAAUGAAAAAGGGAAAAAAUUUAUAAAAUAAAAUAAAUAAAAAAUUUAUAAAAUAAAAUUAAUAAAAAAUUUGAAAAAAAUAUUAUCAAAAAUUAUUCACAUUAGCAUUUGCCAGUGUCGGCUAACAUCAACAUCGACGCCGACCAGCCAAAUUUGGCUUGAUGGAUUGAAUAGGCAUAAUUGCAAGAAGUUUAGGACUUAAUUGGCCAAAAAAAUAAAUUUAGAACUAAAUUAGCACAACUAUAAUAAGUUUAAGACUUAUUUGGUAAUUUUCCCUAAAAAUUCACAUAAGAGUUGAUAAAUGUGAGACACAUGUAAGAGAGAAAAAUAGAAGUUAGUAAAUAAUAGAAAAAAAAAGGUUGAUAAAUUAAACAAAAUAAACACUAGUAAGUACCUCAAAUAAGAGUUAGUACCCUAAAACUAGUUAAACAAUUUAUUGAAAAAGAGUUGUUAAGUCACUCAUAUAAAGAUUAGUGAGUUUAUAUAGAAGUUGGUAAGUUUAAGGCGUUAAUAAGAAAGACAAAUGAAAGUUAAUUAAAGAUAAGAAAUUUCAUAAAUUGCAAAUUGUUAAAAUGAUUAAUAAUUUCAUAAAGCUCUUGAUAAUAACCAACAAGAUUAUUGGAUAAUGAGGCAAUCGGUAACUUUUCCUUAUCAACAGUUUUUUUUAGACUUUUACUGACUGCUUGAGAAAUCUAUCGGCAUGGAGAAAAUUUGUUUUUCAUAGCGGAGCGGUAAAAUCUUCUGGCGGAAGCAAUGAGCAUAAUAGAAGUGUGUUGUCAUCUGACAUAAAUUUGGUCACACAAAUCUCGAAUUAAUUUUGCAAAUAAACCCAGUCUAUUAUAAGGUAGAGUUUCUUGUGAUCUAAGCAAAUACUCGGGGUCAUAGAUCUACCAAUGAACUCAACAACCUGGUGAUGUCUCAUCUUUGUUUUAAUUCCUGUGAAUGAAUCUAAUACCAUGAAGUCAGAAUUGCUUUGGUACAACCUCAAGUCGAGCUCUCUCUCCCUCCCUCCCAAUUCCCAUUAUUUGUAGCCACAUCCUCUCGAGCUCUCUCUCUCCCCCCAAUUCCCGUCAUUUGUAGCCACAUCCUCUCGAGCUCUCUCUCUCUCCCCCCAAUUCCCAUUAUUUGUAGCCACAUUCUCUCAAUUUAAUUUGUAUCUGCCAUUAUAUAAAUGGAUCCAGUGUGAAAGUCAUCUCAUCUGAUGGUGCAUAUGAAUUGGGCUCACAUAUACUUGGUGCAGCAAAGAAUUUGUCCAUUCUCCAUCACUAUAAAGUUCAUAACACGAUACGUCUUUGAGAAAAUUCACGAAGAAAAGGAGAUAAGUCCACAAUGAGCAUUUUGCAGUCCUUUUCUCAUGCAUCUUUCCUUAUUCCUUUUCGGCUUGAUCCCAUCCCUUUUUCCUCAUCUUCGAGCGAUUAGAGGGAAUUUCUUUCCAAGGACAUAUAUCUUCGUCGAUUUUCUUAGACAAGCUAUCCGAUCUAAACCAUCAAAAGUGGUUCCAAUUCCUCUUGCUUGUUUCUUCUUCGAGCAGAAAGCAUAAAUGUCAUACACUCAGAUAAGGACGUAGCAAGUAUCAUCCCACGUCCAAAAGAUAAAAAGCAACUUUUGCCUCAAGCGGCCUCGCUUUGCGACAGAUGGGCUGAUCUCUCCCCCGAAUUUCGAGUGCAAUAUGUUGUUUUUCUUUUCUUUUCUUUUUUCAAAAAUAUUUUUAUAAUAAUAUUAAAGAUUAUUCCAUAACGGAGGGAACUCACGUUAGGAAAUUUUAAUCAAAAUUGAGCGAAUGGACUCAAUUGAUAAAAUGUGAAAAAUGUUUAAAACUCAAUUGACAAAAUUUUAAAAAAAAUUGACUAAAUUGGUUAAAUUGCAAUAAAUUUCGAAUUUUUUGAACAAUUUUUCAUACAUGGUAAUUGAUGGGCUGAUCUCGCCCCUAAACGUUGCGUGCAAUAUGUUGUUUUUCUUUUCUUCCGAAAUAUAUUUCUAGCGGAAAUAUAUGAUUACACCUAAUUAAAGGUGAACGAAAUGGUAGGAGUUGAUAUAUGUGAACAUUAUUCUUCCCAUCAGAUAAGAGUUUCUAGGGGAAUCAUUCAAACUUAGCCUCCGCGAUGGUUCGACCAGUGCUACAAGAUGUUUACGGGGAGCGUAAACAUGGAAAACAUAUCCGAAAGAAACAAAAGGACCCCAAAAGUGCGCUUUGUAUUGACUUGAUGAUGGUGCUGUGAAAACACGUUCGACAAUGUUUAUGAUUCGUUUGUUUCACAAAAAAUGAAUGAUUUGAAAAAUAUUUAUCUAAAAAAUAAUCGCUCGUAUCGUUUAGCACAUCUAAUAAAAGCGUUAAAGUUCAUUGAUGUGAAUACACUUAAUAAAACAAGCCACAUGACACACGAUUAAAAUGUCGGGUCUUGACAUGACACAAUGUAUGUGAUAACUUGUUUAAAAAGGUAUGUUUAUGCGUAUAACACAUUUUUAAAAAUAUGAGUAAUUUUACUUUACAUUUUAUUUAAAAUGAACGAUGGAAUUAAAUUUCAUUUUUGUGUUAAUGAUUUUUGUAUCCCUAGACACAUGUUUUAUUCUUUCUGACAUAUUGUUAAUUUUUUAUCUUUUAAUGAUAAAAAAUUGAAUGUGAGUACUAAAUGUGUUCAAACGUGUUUAAUUAUGAUGUUUUGAAACAAAUGAUUUGUUAAUACAUGUACUUGACGACUAAACAGGUUAAGCAAAACAAUUUAUAUAGGACAUGAUUUAUCAUGUGUAUGCCAAAAUCAAACCUAUACAUUUGUAUGUGUUGUUAUGUCACAUAAAUAGAUUGUAUCAUGAAUUAACGAGCUCACAUAUGAGGUAAUGAAUGUCCAAAACAUAAGCCGAUCAAAAAUUCACUCAAAAGAUAGUUCGAUCCCGUUUAUCAUUGUCCUACCACGUUUGAUUGAGAGAGUCAUAGUUGAAUGUCGAUGAUGGGGUUCAACAAAUUAGAUAUGUUUUUCUUAAUUAGGGUAGUGAUGAGUUGUCUUCACUAGGAGUUGGUAGGAGGCUGGGGGGACUGUCUAGAUCCAUUCAUGGGCAAAAAAUCGUUUGCUGAAAGAGAGUGGACACCAGCUGGUGGAUGAGAGUGGGACAAAGUACAAAUGCCAAAAUAGGGCCUUCCAUGAUCAGCAGUUGGACUCGUGGAAUAUCGUUAUCUCCAUCAUUAAAAAAAGCGAAAUUCGGACAUGACUUGUCUGCCCAAUGUCGAGUUCGGUUUGACAAUUUGGCUCCUUCCUUCCUACUCACAUUCAUGCAAAUGCCCGAGCCGCAAUCNNNNNNNNNNNNNNNNNNNNNNNNNNNNNNNNNNNNNNNNNNNNNNNNNNNNNNNNNNNNNNNNNNNNNNNNNNNNNNNNNNNNNNNNNNNNNNNNNNNNUGCAUUGCUGGCCCCUAGGUGAGGGACAAUAUAACAAGGGUUCUGCCCCUCACCCAUGGCUGGCGAGGGCUUAGGCAAUGGUCGCAACCCUUGCCAGCCACCGACAAGGGCCUGUAGGCCUUCACUCAAUGGCUGGUGAGGGUCGCUCAAAAUAAGAGAAAAAAAUAAAAGAAAAAUAAUUUUGAAUUCAAAAAUUUUAAAAAAAUUAAGUAAUUGCAAAAUUAUCCACUUCAAUGCUGAUGGUACCACAUACAAUGACCAACGUUUAUAUCAGCAAUUUUCUAGCUAAAAUCGAUCGAAUGGACUAUAUUGGUAAAUUAUCAAAAGAAUUGAGACUAAAUUGACUAAAUUAAAAUAUUAUGACUAAAUUGAUACAAGUACAAUAAAUUUAGAAUUUUCUGACAUUAUUCCAUUGUGGUUGAACUAGAACCAGAGGACAAACUUUUGUGUUUGUUUUUCCAAUUGCUUGACUGUCAUAUUUGCCUAGGUCGAUUCAGCGUAGACAAUGUGCAACUGAUUAUGUUAUUAUGUAUAACUAUAUUAUCAAUAAUAAAACUUAAUAUCAAUUAACAAUGUAAUUUCAUCAUUACAUACGAGAUUGCAAACUUCAUAUGAUUAUAACUAAUAGCAGUUUAGGUAGUUGAUAAUUAUGUUGGUUAAUAUAGUGCGAAAGAAGUAUUUUUGCAUAUGGAAUUGGAGGCGAUCAUAUUUAAUAAUCAUUUAAGUCACUAAAAGAAGUAUAACAAAUGUAUUACGAAAAUAAUGAUGUUUAGCAUUAUAAAGAAAAACAUAUUCAAGUGGAUAUUAAACGUUAUCAUAUCGUUAUAUAUUAUUAUUAACAAUUAUCCGAUAUGCUAUUAGGAUAAUACUUACCACAGUUGUAUAACAUGGAAUGGUAUCGAGCUCAUAAUUCUACUAUUGCGUCAUUAAUACUAUUAUAGUAUGUAAAAUGAAUAUUAUCUAACGUCAGUAGAGUAUAGAGUGAGAGAGAGAGAAAGAAACGGUAUUUGACUAUUUGGGAAUAACAAUAACGGUUUUGCUUGUGUAGCAGUUACAUAAGGGUCAUUUAAUAAUUAUUACAGCUGAAUUGUGCCUUGGUAGGAGCUUAUGAUAAAUUACCGUUAUAAUCAUCAUCAUUAUAGAUUAAGUCUAGUGGUUUUCUAGAUUUUUAUUUAUUUAUUUAUGUUAAUAUCAUACAUCCGUCAAUUGGCUUAAACUUCUAUUUGGCUUAUAGGUGGCAUUUUAUUUUCUCUCUCAUAGGUGGCAUAUUUUUCUUUAAAUUUUAUUUAAAAUAGAUAAAAAAAAAUACAAAUUUUAUUUGAUAAAACAAAAUUGGAGAGAGAGAGAGAAUGGUAAGGGGUUGGUAGGGUAUCGAUGUUGCCCUUGUCUGAGGGGAGGAUGAGAGGGUGGCUGGCUCGCUAGCCUUAGGUGAGGGCCAGGCCAGCGAGGCUCAGGUGAGGGUCACUGAGCUAGGGAUUUAUUUUUGUUUUGGUCGUACUAGCCCGAGGAUGACAGGCCUUGCCUUAGCCUUAUGAGGGUCGUUGCCUGGGGCNNNNNNNNNNNNNNNNNNNNNNNNNNNNNNNNNNNNNNNNNNNNNNNNNNNNNNNNNNNNNNNNNNNNNNNNNNNNNNNNNNNNNNNNNNNNNNNNNNNNNNNNNNNNNNNNNNNNNNNNNNNNNNNNNNNNNNNNNNNNNNNNNNNNNNNNNNNNNNNNNNNNNNNNNNNNNNNNNNNNNNNNNNNNNNNNNNNNNNNNNNNNNNNNNNNNNNNNNNNNNNNNNNNNNNNNNNNNNNNNNNNNNNNNNNNNNNNNNNNNNNNNNNNNNNNNNNNNNNNNNNNNNNNNNNNNNNNNNNNNNNNNNNNNNNNNNNNNNNNNNNNNNNNNNNNNNNNNNNNNNNNNNNNNNNNNNNNNNNNNNNNNNNNNNNNNNNNNNNNNNNNNNNNNNNNNNNNNNNNNNNNNNNNNNNNNNNNNNNNNNNNNNNNNNNNNNNNNNNNNNNNNNNNNNNNNNNNNNNNNNNNNNNNNNNNNNNNNNNNNNNNNNNNNNNNNNNNNNNNNNNNNNNNNNNNNNNNNNNNNNNNNNNNNNNNNNNNNNNNNNNNNNNNNNNNNNNNNNNNNNNNNNNNNNNNNUUAGUCCUUCGAAAUAGAAAUAGAGUAGAAACAUGUUUGAUAAUUGUUUGUCUCAGGAAUAAAUUAAAACAGAAACAAGAAACAGAAAAAAGUUAUUCUUGUUUCCAUGAAAAACUCAAGAAACAAGUUUUCUUUCCCUUUUUUUUUUCCUUUUUUUUUCCUCUCUUCUUCCUAGUUGGUCACCGAAGGCUCGUCGGCCCCUCGAGCCUCACCAUGGCUGCGUGAGGCCCCCCUAAGCCUUGUUGUGGCCAAGGGAGGCCAAGCCAGGCCAACCCAAGUGACGUCGACCUAGCAAGGUCGACGUCGCCCAGCCUUGCAGUGGCGGGGUGAGGCUGAGGCUCGAGGGGACCUUGUCAAUGGCCAACAAGGCUCCCCUAAGGCCGGUGACCUUGCCACCCUCAUUUGGCUAGUCGCCGACCUCUAACCAUGGCCAAGACCAGCAACUGGCUGAGAGGAAGGAGAAGAAAAAAAAAAGAAAAAAAAUCAUAAAACUAUUAAUAUAUUAAAAGAAAUUCUAAGUCACAAAAAUAUUUGGGAUUGUACUAAAUUUAUUUUUGUUCUCAAAAUAGAAAUUUUUUACAAUUACCAAAUGCCGUAAAAUACUUGGAAACUAUUCCCAAGAAUAGAAAUAAAAAAAUGUUUCUAAAAAGAAAUCGUUCCUAAGAACAAAAUCGUUACUAUAUACACCCUUAAGUGUUAACGACGAGAAAAUUCAGCCAAAAUGCUAAUAUGGCAAUUUUUCAGAGAAGUAAGUACAAGACGACAUCGUUUUGCAUAUUGACAUAACUAGACAAAUGCAAAAAACGACGUCAUUUUGCUAUUGACAUGAUAAAUAAUUAAUAUAAAAAUUAAUUAAAUUUAUUUAAAACAUUUAAAUUAAAAAUUAAAAAUUUUAUACAAAAAGGAAGGGAGGAAGAAGGCAGUUGAAGGCUAAGCCUUGUCAAUGGGUGCGUUUGGGAACUACUUUUGGGGAAUGUCUUUAGAAAAAUGCAAAUACCUUUGACUUAAAGGUGUUUUCCAAAAUGCAACCGUGUUUGGUAAAUUGCACUUUGAAAGCUCUUUGUAAAGUAUGUCNNNNNNNNNNNNNNNNNNNNNNNNNNNNNNNNNNNNNNNNNNNNNNNNNNNNNNNNNNNNNNNNNNNNNNNNNNNNNNNNNNNNNNNNNNNNNNNNNNNNNNNNNNNNNNNNNNNNNNNNNNNNNNNNNNNNNNNNNNNNNNNNNNNNNNNNNNNNNNNNNNNNNNNNNNNNNNNNNNNNNNNNNNNNNNNNNNNNNNNNNNNNNNNNNNNNNNNNNNNNNNNNNNNNNNNNNNNNNNNNNNNNNNNNNNNNNNNNNNNNNNNNNNNNNNNNNNNNNNNNNNNNNNNNCUUUUUUUUUUGGUAAGGACAUAGGCCUCUUCUUUUGAUUCCUAUGUAAAUGGAAUAAAUGCAUUAAAAGUCUUGAAAAUUGUCACAAAAGUAUAAUUGUGUCCUAAAAUUUAUAAAAAGUGCAAUUAUAUCUUAAAAGUUGUUAAAUUCGUGCAAUUAAGUCUUUUCGUUAAUUCUAUCCAAUUUGGUUAAUGGAAACUGUGAUGUACUCUUUUUCUUUUUCUUUUUUAAUCCUAUGUGGCAAUGAAGUGCCUAAAACAUGAAACAUAAGACUAAAAUGAUAUUGUUUUGUCCAAAUCUAAUUUUUAAUACUAAUUUUACUUAAAUUAGCAAAAAAAAAAAAAAAACAGUUAAAUUUAGGCGGGCAAAAGGAUAUCUACGGCAAAAUUGUAGACCUCACCGUCAUUGCCCAGCAACCAUCACCAGAAGGGUUGGUGACCCUUGCCAAUCGCAAGCAAGGCCUUAUAGGUCCUUACCAGCCCUCCCUAAAGGCAAGAGUUGUUGGCCACUAGCUAAGGCCCGAUGCCCCUAGUGGACAUCUCCCGGUCUCACCUGGUUUCUCACAGGCCUCUUUUUUCUUUAAAUUUUUUAUGCUUGAGAUAAGUACACUAGUCUAAACAUGUCAUAAACUUGUAAAAUAAGUGCAAUCAAGUCAUUCCAUUAAUACUAUCAAUUUGGCUUACAAGAAAUGAUGAUCUGACAUUUUAUUUUCUCUCUCAUAUGUGGUAUUUUUUUAAAAAAAUUUCAUUUAAAAUAGAUUAAAGAUUAAAAAAUGCAAAUUUUAUUUGAAAAAUAAAAAUGGAGAGAGAGAGAGAGAGAGAGAGAGAGUGGUAGGGGGUUUGUUGGGUAUCGCUGUUGCCCACUGCCAGAGGAGAAGAAGAGAGCGUGGCUGGCUCGCUAGCCUUAGAUGAGGGUCGACGAGGUUCAGGUGAGGGUCACUGAGCCCAAGUGGUGGCUAGUGAGGCUCGCCCAACUGGGGUUGACAAGGCCUCACCUAGCCUUAUGAGGGUUGCUGCCUAAGGUCCGCGUUGCCCAAAUCUAGGCUAUGGGGAAGGUAAACUUGGGCGAGCCUCACCGGCCCUCACCUAGGGCUCACAAGCUAAUCACCCUUACCCAAGGCCAGCGGAGUCGCCAUCCCCUUCAAUGAGGGCUUCUAGUGCACAUAUUAUUAUUUUUUAAUUAAUUUAAAUAAAAUUUGAAUAAAAAAAUAGAUUUAGACCACAAUGACGUCAUUUUAGUCACGUCAUCACCAUGUAGUAUAAAGAAAAUAAUUAAAAGAAACCAUAUCAAUAUUUUUUCGUCAACUAAGUUUUACGAAGUUAAUAGAAAAAUUUGAUUGCAUCAAUUUAAUAUAAAUUUUAUUACUUAGUUGCACAUAAGUAGUUUUAGGCCUUUCACUUUAGCAUCUUCGAAUAGUAAUAAUAAAAUGGGCAUUUAGUGGAUGGGUGCAAACAAUAAUCAUUGGACGCGGAAAUAUAUAUGGAUGCUGCAAGUUUUGACCACUCCCUCGGUGUCGUGUGAAGGCCUCACUUCCUCGGUGCUGUCCUUUUCUUAACAUCUCUCUCUCUCUCUCUUUCUCUCUCUCCCCUCUGCAUCCCUUCUCCUCUAUAUAUAGCCACCAUUCCCUCAUUCCUCCUUGCAUUACUCAAUGUAUUCUUCUCUUUGCAACUCUUAACGCACGACUCUCUCUCUCUCUUUCUCUCUGUCGUUCCUUCUCAGUUUCCCAUAUCCAGCUCUCUCUCCUUCCCUCGCUCUCUCGGCUUCUUUCUCUCUCAGCAACACAANNNNNNNNNNNNNNNNNNNNNNNNNNNNNNNNNNNNNNNNNNNNNNNNNNNNNNNNNNNNNNNNNNNNNNNNNNNNNNNNNNNNNNNNNNNNNNNNNNNNNNNNNNNNNNNNNNNNNNNNNNNNNNNNNGCUUCGGUUUAAUCUCGAAAAUGGGUGUGAACUCUGCCGUGAAGAACCAGCACCCCAACAACCAGGUCUUCGAUGUCUCCAUUAAUAUCCCGCCGCAAGGUGGCUCCAAAUGCUUCGACGACGACGGUCGUCUCAAACGUCUCAAACGCACAGGUCCCUGUCUUUUUUCUUCGUUUUUGUUUUCAAGAAACGAUUUCUGAGAUGUAGAUUACCACGACUUCUCACGACUCAUUAGGAAAGACGAGGACGAACACCCACAGGGAAUCGCCCGUCUAGGAAAGACGAGGACGAACACCCACAGGGAAUCGCCCGUCUUUUAGGAACGUUGCUGUCGCGUCAAUGCCGUCACAAAACCAGGGAAAAGAAACACAAACAUUAAGAAACUCUUCAAGGAAAGCAGACAAAUUCUUUGCUUUUUUUUUUUUUUUAAUGAAACACCAUCAAUGAAAUUUCGCAUCGACGCGUGUUGUGAAUUUAUAAACGUGGGUGAAUUUACAACCUUCUCUUUUCCUUUUUAAGAGACUACUGAUAAAAGAGAAUUUAUAAUUUUUUAGUGACGAUGUUACUUAUGGUGGCUCGUGCGUGAACGAAUGCAGGGACGGUAUGGACAGCGAGCUCUCACAUAAUCACGGCAGUGAUUGGCUCCGGAGUCCUGUCCCUGGCUUGGGCCACUGCGCAGCUCGGCUGGAUUGCUGGUCCCGCUGUCAUGCUCCUGUUCGCCUUGGUCACUUACUACACCUCCACCCUCCUCGCUGCCUGUUACCGCUCCGGCGACGGCAAGCGCAACUACACCUACAUGGAUGCUGUCAGCGCCAAUCUCGGUAUGUCACAUUUGUAUUUGUGUUCACGUUCAUAUUCCAAUGCUAAUGUCUGAGUCAUGUCCAAUCAUGUUGUGUUUGAUGCUAACCUCUCCUCUUUUGAUUAAAUUCUCCAGGUGGGUUCAAAGUCAAGCUCUGUGGGCUGGUUCAAUACGUGAACCUCUUUGGGGUUGCCAUCGGUUACACCAUUGCAUCUUCCAUUAGCAUGAUGUGCGUAAAUUUUCAGUGAAAAUUCUUGUGAUUGUUUUGCCAGUGUCGAAAGUUAUGCGAGUUCGAUUGAUUUUGUUGGCUUCUAUGGUCACUGCAGGGCUAUCAGUAGGUCGAAUUGCUUCCACAAGAACGGUGAGAAGAGCCCGUGCCAUUUCAACAGCACUCCUUACAUGAUUGCAUUCGGCAUCAUUGAGAUCAUCUUCUCUCAAAUCCCCGAUUUCGAUCAGCUGUGGUGGCUGUCCAUCGUUGCCGCUGUCAUGUCCUUCACCUACUCCACCAUUGGACUCGGCCUUGGUAUUGCCAGAGUUGCAGGUACAAGAAAUUUUUUCUUGCUAAGCUGCUCCAGUCAUCUUUCUAAACCAUCCCUUUGGGGACAGAACCCGGUAGAAGUAUGAGUUCUGAUUUAGUAUUCUGUUCUGAAUUGUCUCCUCUUCAGAGACGGGGAAUUUCAUGGGAAGUCUCACUGGAAUUAGCAUCGGCACCGUGACCUCCACACAGAAACUAUGGAGGAGCUUCCAGGCUCUUGGUGACAUUGCCUUUGCCUAUUCAUACUCCCUUAUCCUCAUCGAAAUUCAGGUGAAUAAUUUAAUUUCCUCUCAAAUGCAUGACACAAGAAAGUACUAGUGAUGGUUAAAUAUUGUAAUGAAAUUGAAGUCACUUGACACGAUAAGUUUGUAUAUGUUUCAGGACACCAUCCGGUCCCCGCCAUCCGAAUCAAAGACGAUGAAGAAGGCGAGUCUAGUCAGCAUAGCAGUCACGACCCUUUUUUACAUGCUCUGCGGAUGCAUGGGCUAUGCUGCCUUCGGUGACAUGGCGCCUGGAAACCUCCUCACUGGGUUCGGCUUCUACAACCCAUACUGGAUGGUCGACAUUGCCAACGCUGCAAUCGUGAUCCACCUCAUCGGUACGUACCAAGUCUAUUGCCAACCCCUAUUCGCCUUCGUCGAGAAGGCCGCGAUCAAGAAAUUCCCCAACAGCCAGUUCAUCACGAGGGAUAUCGAAAUCCCAACCCUUGGUCUCCGUACUUACAAGCUCAACCUCUUCCGGUUGGUCUGGAGGACCGUCUUUGUGAUCAUGACCACCGUGAUCUCCAUGCUCCUUCCAUUCUUCAAUGACAUUGUUGGGCUGCUCGGAGCGCUGGGUUUUUGGCCCCUCACGGUCUAUUUCCCGGUCGAGAUGUACAUUAAGCAGAAGCAAAUACCCAAGUGGAGCACCAAGUGGGUGUGCCUUCAGAUUCUGAGCAUGGCUUGCCUAAUCAUCACCAUUGCUGCUGCUGCUGGUUCUGUCGCCGGUGUUGUUCUCGACCUCAAGUCCUAUAAGCCCUUCAACUAGUUAAAGAUUAUUUGGGCGCUCAUGUUCAUAACAAGGUUAAUCAUGGUGGUGGAAUUUGCUUUGUGAGAAAUUCUAGGCUUAGGUUUCAUUUUCACUGUGUAAUGUGUUUAGGGAACGGG
rnacentral:lncRNA from 1 species